UUACAGGAAGUCUUUGAAAUCAAACUCUAAAGAGAAGAUGUGGAACCUCAACAAGAACCAAACAUCACUAUGGUCGUCCCUCUCUAGAUCUCUAAAAGCUCUGUUAUUUCUCUUUCUUCAAAAAGGCCAUAACAAAGCACAUACCCCCACAAACCAUAAAAGAUGAGCUCGCACAAUUCAAAACUUCUGCUCCAUGCAGACCUACAAACUUAUAACUCCAAAGUAACUGAUCCAAGUCAUCUUCUGUCUUCUGACAAAUAAUAUAACAAAAAAGACGUUGAUCCACUAACGAAGACAAAUCCAAAGUGUUCACACUACCAAAUAAAACAUGCUAGGAAAAUAGUUUAACUUUCUUAGGUUUCUUAAUCCUCCAUGUAACACAUCUUUUGUUAAUUAUGGGCACGUCAGUGAAUAUAGUACACCAUGCCAAUAAUGGACAGUAAAACUUGACAGAAGAUUAUGAUUUUCCUAUUUUACCAUUGUAAAGGUGCUUAAAACCAUUUUUAAACACACAGAAGUAUGGUAUGUAAAUUUCUUAAACUACAGGUAUACUUCAUAGUUAUCCUUUUCCCAGGGAGGGUAGAUAAGAAAAUAUAAUAUCAAGCUAUCUAAAUACUACAGGUAUACUUCAUAGUUAUCCUUUUCCCAGAUAGGGUAGAUAAGAAAAUAUAAUAUCAAGCUAUCUAAAUACGAUAUCUCCUUUGUUAUAUGACAUCAAUACAUAUUAUGUACUAAGCCCAAUAUUUGAUUGCUUUCCAUUUCUCAUCAUAUCAGAUAGUAAGGCAUGCUGAGAGCUGGAGUGUUUCUGCACUUGAAGCAAUUACUCAAAUAUUCAUCCCUAGUUUUGAGUGAGACUGAAAAUUGAUUUGUAAGUUCUUGUCUCUAAACUUCUUACACAAAAUGUCUUUAGAAACAAAGCACUGUAGGUUACUUGUAUAAAAUUCUGUUCCAUCCCCAAUUAAAUAAAACUCGUUGGCUUCAUAAACUUGUUAUCAUGUAAUGAAAGUAUGGAAAAUUUUCAUUUUUUUCUCCUGUACUUUCCUCUCUUUUGUUUUGCAUUUCUCGGUGUGUUUAGAGUACAUUGACUAGUUUCAAGAAACAAUUCAAACGACUUCACAAAACUUGAUGUUCAACUUAGUUAAGCAUUGGACUCUGUGCUUAGUUCGAGCUUUAGGAUCGUGGUGACGAUAUUUUAGGGUCAUUCCUAAUAUAUGGAAGAACAAAGAAAAAGUUCAUCACAGGAUAGAAAAAAGUUCAAAUACAUUGAAAUAAAAGUUCAUUUAAAGUUAAUUAGGAUUUAUUCCAAUUAUUGAUCUUCUGUAUUUUUUCCUUUUAUGGUCCUUUCCUUUGUUGGGUUUCUUGAAUCUAUUUAUUGCAACUCAAAUUCUGACUCAAGCUGAUUAUUUCAAUAAUAUAUACAAAAUUUAAUAAGCACCAGAGCAUAAUUCUUUUGUUGUUGGAUUCUGGCUUGCAACCUCUUUUUGUUUUGUUUUGUUUUAAAACAAAAGCAAAAUCAGAACAAAUUUAAAGAGAACAUGUCUCGAUAAAUUACACAUCCACUUAUGGAAGUUGUUCUUAUAACUUUUCUUGCCGCAAAAAAGAUGCGAGAAAAACUCUAGCACUUAAUUUACAUUGCCGAAUUUUUCUUGUUAACUCUUAUUUUUUCUCCACUUCGUUGAUGUACGAAAGCUGUGGGGAAAAAAGUUCAAUAACUACGGCAACUGCAAUUAUGUUUCUUGCAAAUUUUCCUUAUGAGAAAGUUUUGGCCAGUAAAACUGUUUAGCUUUUGAAAAUUAAGCCUAUAAACACUAAUUCAUCUAUUCGUUAAUGGUUCCUAUGUUUCCUUGUAUCCAUUUUAGUUGUGUUCUUAAAAUCCAAACCAAAGUUUGAACCAACUUUUUUCUGGUUGACUGAUAAUUCACGAUUAAGAAUUUAAAUGUUUACAUAAAAAAAUAUGUGAAUUAUGAUAUUGAAAUUGUGAGAAAGCAAAUAUACCAUUUUGAAAAAUUUAAAAAUCAAAUAGUUAUGAAUGGAGCUUAAGAAAGUUAAAUGCACAUUGAUGGUAAUCAUGAUUCCUGAACACCGUUGAGGCCACGUUUUAUUUAUCAAACUCAAAACUCUUAUUUGGAUACUUGCAGUUAGAUUUAUUUACUGUCACACCAUAACCCUUUAGUACAUAAAAAACUAUGAAACUCGCAAAACAUUCAGUAUUCUCAUCUCAUCCAAUUGACUUCUCAGUUGGAUGAGAAGUCAAUUGUUUUCAUAAAACUCAUCACACCAUAGCCCAAUGUUUUUAUAAAACACUUGUUUUAAAACCUAACUCACUGAGCUUUUUAGCUCACCAUUUUCAAAUUGUGUUUUCUACUUUUCAGGUAGAGAUCGUGUUCCCAAAGCCUGAUACGCUGUUGUCACUCUGCAAGAGAGUCUCGUCUUUUAUUCGGUAUCUUGUUCAGUCGUUUUGUACUCAUAUGCACAUAUAGUCUUGUAAAUAUACUCAGAAUUAGAGCAGGUUGUGUGUUUUUGGACCAAGAAGACUAUACUUUGUGUUUAAAAGUCUAUGUAAAACCUAUCUUUAUGUUUGUUAUAAUAUGGGCUGCACUUGAAUUCUUUUAAUAUUUCUUUCUUUAUAGUUGUGUAUUUUGCUUUCGCAAGUUAUUCAAGUAAGAGUGCUAGAGGUUAGGGUCAGCAGGUAUUGUUGAGUAGAGAACUACAUAUGUUGGCUCCGCACCGUCUCUUGAACCAAGAGAGGAAGUGGUUUGAAAGCGGGUGUGACAGUACACAUCUCUGAAAUGUUUGGAUUUUCCAAAAUUUCACGUUGGUGGACGUGACCCUGACCACACACGUUAGCGUUGCCAGGAAAGGUAACAGAAUCAUGGUGUCGUAAUGUAUAAAACAUUUUAAAGUAAAAUUCCUAAUAUGCAAUUGAUUUCAUGUGUCACUUCUAUAGCAUCUCAGUGGUGAAGUUGCUUGGAUUGAUAAUGAUGGAAACUGAGGUGAAAUUGCUGAUAUGAAAGGGGAGGAAGGUAUGUCUCUCCUUUUUGUGUUUUUCUUGCUCCUGGUCGGCCUUUACUUUCCCCCCUACUAGGGAAAAAAGGGGAAUAAUAUUUUGUAAGUUUUAAGAGGGACAUUUUCCCUUUUGUUCUACAUCCAUAAAAUGGAAAGUAACAUUAAUAACUAUUGCGGCUCACAUUUGAUACUUCUUAUUAUGAACUACAAAAUCUCUUGUUUUUUCUUAACUCCAACUUUUAAAUAUUCUAUUUUAUUGUGCUUAUCUAAUACCAUGUUUUAUUUGAAGUUACAUGUAAUGUAUUGAUUUGCUGGACUUAUGUAUAUAAGAUCUGGUUAAAGCUAUAUGUACCCCAAAGAAAAAAGAAAAAGGAGAAAGGAGAAAGGAGAGGAGGUCCAGACAAUUUCAUAAAGUCAUUUCACAAAGACUAAGAUGUUAAAAAGUGUCUAACUCCAAUAUUGAUAUUAUUGAUGGGGAGGACACUUGUCUUUGAAUGAACGGUUCGUCCCAUCUCUUUUGAAACUUGAGUGUGGCAUGAAAUGAAUGCCUCUUGGGAUCUUUGCCAUUUUCAAUUAAAGAUGACUAUUUUUCUUACGAGGUUGGAGAUUUGUUUCCUUAAAAAAAAUUUAAAGGAGGUAUCGGACUCCACAAAUUUUCUAUAGGAAAUCCUCUCCUUAAACUAAGUGAAAAUUUUCGUUGGGAUAAAGAAUGAGAUGGAGGAUGGAGAAGAGGAAGAGUCAUCUCCGUUUCCUUUCAACCGGUCGACAUCUCUAUUCUCAACCAAAAGAUAGAUCUAACUUAUAUUAUGCUAUUUUUAUUAGUUAUUUUGUUCAGCAAUGAAAUCUUUCUUUUCAAGUCAAUUCAAUUUAGUUUGAUUCUCGGCCGAACGAUAUGAUCAUUUAAUCAGGAAAGAGUUCAUUGUAUGAUUAAACAGGUCCAAGGAGCUGGCAAAGAGUCAUUUUCCAAGCCAAAAAAGAACUGAAUCUGAAGCAGAUACAGAUGCAGAUAAAUGGGCAAAAAUACGCUCACAAAUUGAUGUUUCAAUCAUAUGCUUGGUUUUGUCAUUUUGGCUGUCCAAAGGCACACAUUUGAGGUUAUGAUCUGGUCCACCAUCCUUUCAUUAUUUAUCCUACCUUUUUUGUUUGUUUUGUUUGCAACAAAAUAUUUGCUAUUCAGUACCCCCAAUAGAAAAUUAAAAAAGAAAAUCAAUGAAGAUGCAUAGAAAGUAGACUAUUUGGUCAGUUUCAAGUGGUGUGAUUUGAUAUUGAAGCAGACCCUUUAACAGAGCUUCUUUUGACUGUUAGUGUAGGUAGAGAGAGAAAGAAAAUCAAGAAUUUAAUGCAUUCUGCCAUUUCAUUCUUCAUAUCAUUCACACUUUUCUUUUCUUUUUUUUGGUUAAUAAAUUAGAAGGUUCCUCUCUCUUGUCACAUGAAAACCUUGGAGGACAGCAUUAUUAUUGCUUCACACCACAUGAGCUAGAUCUAGUUUUGUUUAUUUUAUUAAUGAUCAUAGUAGCUGUCUGUUUCUAAGUUUAUGAAAUUUAGCCAAACUUUCUUUGAAGUUUGAACUAUUGGGAUUAUAAUCUUUUUUUUAAAAAAAAUACACUUCUUUUUAUUUAAAUACUUAUUUCAAACUCUCAAACUUUCACUAAUAAAAAUGGUUUAAUAAAUUCCUAACAAUCGUAAGGUUUAACCAACAAUUUCUUUAGUUUAUUUUGUGUAUAAAAAUAAAUACUUUGGAGUCGUAUAUUUAUUUAAGGUUGCCUUGGUCGUAUAUCUCAAUUUGAAGUUUGAACUCGAUGGCACGCUCCUACUCUAUUUUAUUUAUUUUAAUUAUUAUUGGUGGGCUAAGGAUGUCUUAAGGUGGACCUCUCUUGUUUCUUCAAAGUGAAUGUCGAUGUGCCUGUUAUUAGUGGUGAUGUGGAUUUGAUGCUGUUGUUCGUGACUCUUUUGGUGAUACAUUGUUUUACAUGAAAUUUAUCAUAGUUAGGACUUUUUACUUUUUUAAAAAAAUUGUUUUUAUAACAUUAUUGAAAUCUGUCAACAAAAUCGAUAUUUCAAGUAUUUGGAGAAAUAAAAUUAUUGAAAUUUAGAAAGAAAAUUUUGAUAUUUGAAUUUUUUUUAUUGAUGUUUGGAAUAAAGUUUAUUUUUUGACGCUUACCACGAUGAACACUUAACUUGAAAGCACAAUCACUACAAAUCAUUAUUUAAUAUAUUGUAAUAUGACCGUUCAAAAUUAAUAUUAAAAAAUAAAAACCUCUUAAUAAAUUCGUCCCUACUUGAAGCUAACCAUUAAUUUUAUGAACAAAAAAUAAUUCACCGAGAAUAGAACUAAACUUGUAACCCUAGAAGGAACAAGAUUGAUGAGUAUCACAUAAAGAUUAAAUAAUUAUGCUUCAUUGCAUCUACAUUUUUUGUAAGUAAUUCCAUCUUAUCCUCACUUUAACAAGAGGUGAGAAUUUUAGAUUUUCACAUGAGAAUUUUGGCCUUUUCUUUUUUAUUUGACCGUUGUUACUUUAAAAUUUUGGACACUCGUACUAGAUGAGGAGGGAAUAAGAUAAAUGUCGAUAUAUAUAAUAUAUAUAUAUAUAUGUAACAAUCGUUGAAUUUACCAAAACGUCAUGUCAUCUAUAGUUUCACGUAAUAGUGUUGAAUGUUUCGGAUGUGAUUUUACGAUAGAAACAAAAAUAAUAUUCAAAAAUAGAAUUAGGACUUCUAAAAGAAAUCAGACAAUUUUCAAAUACAUGUUGACCAUAAUCACAAAGAUGGCAAAUGAUUUUUCAUGCAAGAAACUUCCAAAUCUUGUGUGUUUAGAGUAUAAUUAUCUUUGAUAUCAUCAAAAUGGAAUAUAAUCACGAGGAUAAAAAAUCUUCAAAUAAAACACUAAAAACUAAUACAUUAUUCCAAAUCUACACAACAAUAUCAAUAUGAAAGUAUAGUUAUAUUUUUAUUCUAUUAUUUCAACGGGUUGAUGUAUCAAAAUGAAAUUCAUUAUUGUUACAUUUUUCAUAACUUAAAAAAAAAACAAAUGUAGAUCUAUAUCUAUUUGAUAUUCAAACCUUUCAAAUUUUCAAUUCUGUGUUUAAAAAAAAUCAUAAAAUUAAUUAACAUAUUAUUCAUAAACUUAAUAAAUUUAGAGUGAAAUUCUAAACUUUGCUCCAAAUUUAAAGCUAAGAUUCAAUUUGGAUUAUCUUCCUAAAUGCUUAAAAAUAUUUUUUUAUACCUAAAAAAAAGUCAAUCUAAACACGCUCUUGAGUUGCAAAUUCAACCAAAAAAACUCGUAAGAACCAAAAGAAGUAUUGGAAAAGUUUGAAAAGAGUAUUUAAUAGAGAAAAGAAAAACAUCAUAAGAACUAAAGAAAGUCAUAGUUUGAUAUAUACACUCACAAGUCAAUAAGACAAUAACACAAAAAAAUGAAUAAUAAGAAUAAAGAAAUAUGAUUAAAGAGAUUCCUCCUUUUCUUAAGAUAGAUCCCUCCCUCUGCCUAAGGUUAACCCCUUUUGAGUUGGCUAUAAGAAAGCAAAGGCAAAGUUUUUUUUUUUUUUUUUUUUAAUUAAAGGAAAUUUAAGAAAAACAAAAAACCCUUUUAUUUAUUUAUAUUAAAAAGAAAAAAAAGAGUAAAAAUAAUAAUAAUGAUAAAAAAAAAAGGAAAAAAGUUGGGAUGGGAAGUGCAAAACAGCUAAGUUAUAGAAAUAUAUAUAUAUUGAUAGGUGAGAUUGGCUGAAUGAAAGGCGCAAAUCAAGGAAUCCAACUCUUUUUUCUUUUCUUUCUAAUGAAUGUAGAUUUAGUUUUAGUGCUUUUCUUUUCUUUUCUUUCUGUUUCUUUCUAUCAUCAAUGGAUUCAAAAAAGCUUCUUUCUUUCUAUGUUUCAACCAAUCCUAAUAAUAUAACCCUUUUCUUUUUUUCCAUCAACUAUUUCUUCCAAUUUAAUUCAUUAACAUCAUCUUCAAUUUACAGUUUCAUAUAACAUACUGUUUCCAUUUCAUUCUUCUACUUUACAUAUUAUAAUAGUAAUAAAAAAAGAGUUUUUACUUUAUUAAGCGAGAACGAUUUCAAUGAGUUUAAUAGGUAAGUUUGAACGUGAGUAGGUGGGGUUCAAUUUGCUAUAGAAAGCGUAAAAUUCGAUGCAUUGGAUGUGAUGUGAUUAAUCUCUAUGCAAUGGAUGUGAUGUGAUUAGUCGUUAAUUAAGGGGUGAGUAUUGGUAAGUUGAGGUGGGUUUUUUGACCAGUUAGGUUACGACGAGUGAUGCCUUCGGGAUUUUUUUAACCGAUUGAAUCCCUCAUCAUAUGCAAUCGAUUGCUUUUGUUUCCGUUGGUUGGUUUGUUGUUUCGGUCUAUCAUACUCACCGCUAUCUCUUAUCCAUAAUUGAAUUUUCGCUAACUAAAAUCAGUUUGUGUGAUCAUUGAGGAUAUUAUUUGCUCAUGCUAUUGUAGUUUUGACACUUCUUUUAGUUCUUGAUUAAGAAAUACGUAUUGAACUAUAGGUUUGUUAAUUGCAUUAUACACUCUUUAAGUACACAAUUAAAUACAGAGGCCAAGUACAUUCAUGUUUAUUUUCUUUAUUUAUCUUUGCAAUUAAAUACAAAGGUUAAGUACGUCCUUGGAAUUCGUUUCUUGUUUUCAAUUUUGAAAUUUACCCUUGUGUUUCUUCUUAUAUCCUUAUUAAAUUGUUCACUUAUUUUAAAUAAAAUUUUUAGUUGAAUUCUAAAAACAAAAAUUACUUUUCGUGGUUUUAAAAAGAUGAGUAGAUCAACAUGUAUAACAAAAUAAAAAAUUUAUGAGUGGAUAUAAUGUUUAUAGUGAAUUAAAUUUUCAAAAACCAAAUAAUUAUUAAAUAGGGUUUAGUUUUUAGAUUAUGGUUUGUUAAGAACACAGAGAAAAAGUUAAUUAAAGUGUAAAAAUGACUUCAAAUUACUGUGUUUUUUCAAGAAAUCUGAGAAAUAUAUAAUGUAAAUAUAGGAGAAAACAAAUAAAAUUUUCAAAAAAAAAAAACUCAAUAAAACCUAAAUGUAUAUCAUGUAGAUUAACAUUUUAAUCUCACACAAUGUAUAAACUUACAAUUUUUUGUAACAUAAUUCUCUCUCUCUCUUUCAUUUUAUUCAUAAAGAUAUUACUGUAUGAGUAUCAUUAUUAACUUUUGAUUUUCUUAAAAGAAUGAUGUUUUCUAAGGUUUUGAAAACUAAUUUAUUUACAAAGAAAAUUGAAGGAAAAGGAAUUAAAAAAGAAAAGGAAGGCUAUUUCCAAUUAUUAAUUAAUUUGUUGAGAUUGGGAUUUGGGGAAGAAUAUAUAUAUAUAUAUAUGUACAUAUAAUUAACAUUUCAAAGAAAUAAAAAUUAUUGAGUAAUAAAGACAAUUGAAUAAAACUGGAGUUUUGAUGGAUUGACAUGUCAUAUCAUUAAUAAUUUAUAAUGAAACAAAAUACAACUCAAACCCACUUAAUUUGUUUUCUUUCUAAUUUAAAAUUAAUUCUUUUAGUUUUAUUUUUAUACCAUCAAAUUAAUUCAAAUCAAAUGAAAUUUGGUACACAACCCUAGUAGUCUACCUUCUUCAUGAUGUUGUAUCUUUAUCAAACCAUAAAUAUAUGAUUAUCAGAAAAUAAAAUUACACAAUUACUAUGUAUAAAGUAGUAGUAAUAAUACAAGUAAAUUGUCCAUUUUGAGCAUUGUUAUAUAUCAAACAAUUUAAGAAGUAAAAGAUUCAAAUUAUAUUUCAAUUUUGAAACUUAAAAUAUCACUAAAAAGAAAGAUCGCAAUAAGGAUGAUAUGAGUACGUUUAUUUAUCGAGAUAGAGAUUGAUUAAUUAGAUAUGAUCAUAUCUAGCGUAAUACAUCGAAAAAACUAUAUUAUAAUGCAUGUAAGUAUUUUGUAUGGGUGAAAGAUAGGUGAUUGGUCAUAAAUGAGUUACACACUAGAAAAACUGAAAAGAAAAAAAACACUCACUCACCCUCUCCUCUCUCUCUCUCUUCCUCCUUUUAAUAAGAAAAAAGAAGAGACACUUGUACAAACUCAUUGAGAGAGAGCUCAAACUCUCUCUCUUUCUCUUUCCUCUCUCUUUUUGUUGAUCAUCUUUCAUUUUCUCUUCACACACCAUUAUCAAACUCUUCAAGAUUUUGAAGAGAAAGGGAAAAAGGGGUUUUGAGUUUUUGACACAAUGGUUCCAUCUUGUUUUAGCCAUUCCUCCAUCUCUUCCACACUCUCCAAUGAACCAUUUCAACCACAAUCCCUAAUUAGUUGCAUUUACCAAACCAAUCUCUUCAACCAUUCACCUCCCACUCUUCUCACCCUCACUUGGUCCUUAUCUCUCUCUUCUCAUUCUCUCUAUCUCCAUUCCUCUCCUUCUUCUUCCUCUUCCUCUUCCUCUUCCUCUCCCUCUCUCUCCACCACUAUCUCUCUCUCCCCUUCCUCUUUCUCCCUUUUCUCUCCCACUUCCAAAUCCAUCUCUCUCCCUGACUCCCACAAACUCAAACUCCAUUGGGACUUCUCUAAAGCUAAGUACACUCCCAAUUCAGCUCAACCCAUUUCUUCUUUCUACCUCGCUAUCACUUGUGAUGGCAAGCUUCACUUCUUCAUUGGCGACCUCCUUGAAGAUUUCGCCCGACGGGCUAAGACCAUUUCCCUCUCCGAUCCUUCCCUACGGGAGGACUACUCGACGCUCUUGUCCCGUCGGGAACACGUGUUUGAACGGCGGAAUUGCUAUGUCUCGAGGGUCGAAUUCUUGGGAUCACAACGAGAGAUCGCUGUUGAAUUGUGUAGCGGAAUCCUGAAAGUCUCUGUCGAUGGAGAGGUUAAACUUGUCGUGAAGCGACUCGCAUGGAAGUUCAGAGGAAACGAGAGGUUGGUUAUUAUUGAAAAUUAUUAUGAUUCGAAGUUGAUGAUAAAUAACACAAUUGCCGACUCAUUAGAACGUACUACAUGUCAAUUGCUUCUUACUCGGUUGCGCUUUUCAAUGCACAUUAUUCUGAUGAGAAUUCCAACUAAUUGAUUCUAUUCUUUCCUUUUUUGUCCCACCAUUAGGUUCUUCAUCAGUGGCAACGCCGUCGACUUCUUUUGGGACGUUUUCAAUUGGGUCAAAAGUGAAGGCGGCGCCGGCAGCGGCGGACCGGGAGUUUUUGUUUUUCAAGUCGGAGAAGGUGGGGUUUGGCCAGAGGUCAUCGGAGCCGAAGGGAAGUUGAUGAAGCGGUGCUUAUCAUCGUCGGCGGCGGCGGCAGGCAUUGGGUCGACGCCAGCAGCUGCGUUUCCCGCAAUGUCGCCGGCGGGUUCGAACUCGAGUGUGUUACAAUGGGCGGAGGAGAGUAGCAGCGACGGGGGAAGGAGUUCGUGUUCGUCGUCGUCAAGGUCAGGCGGAAUCAAUGGCGGAUUCUCUCUGCUGUUGUACGCUUGGAGGAAGAACUAAAAACUCAGAGGUUUUUUCUUUGUUAAGUGUCGAAAACUAAAAAAAAAAAGGGAAAUUGCAUUUUAAUUUUUUAAUUUUUUAAUUUUGCUUUUUUAAUAUUUUACUUUCCUAAUUUCUAUUUUGUAAAUAUAUAGUUUUUUGUUUUCAUUUUCUAGAUUGUCGUGUAAAUAUUUAAUCUAAAUUAAAUUUGGUGUUUUCUUGACUUUGUUAAUUUCUAUUUUGUAAUUUUUUAUUUAUUUAUGUAGUGAUCACGGUUUAAAAUAUCGAUGUCGAUAGAAAUAUUGAUGAAAAUUGAUAAAAUUUGUUAUAAUUAGUUUAUGAAACUUUGAUUGUGACCUAAUUACACUACAAUUGACCGUUAUUAAUCAUUAUUUUUAUAAAGUAAAACAAGUUUUAGAUAUAUGGUAUACAAAUUCGUGUUGACGUAGACGUGUGAGAAGAUUUUCUUAAGAAAAAAGAAAUAUUAAUUGAAAAAUGAAAGGAAAUUAAAUGUUUACAUAUUGAAUAAUGGCGUUGAUGCAUCUAAUUUAGAGUCUUCUUAAUUCUAUUGCUCUCAUGUCAUCCUAUAUUGAAAAUGUUGAUGAUAGUCACAUGAGUGAAAUUGAUAGGACUUGUACGAUCAACAUAUAGAUUUUAUGGAUAGAUACAUUUUAUUGAUCGAUGUUCUUCCUCUUUCGGAUAGUUAAUAACUAUUUGGUGGUAAUUAUCUUGAUCAUAGUUUUUUUGUUGUGAUUGCUACGGCUUAAGCUCAUCAUUUUCUAUACUUGAAAUUAAGAAAUUCUCAUAAGAACCAAAAUAUAUCUUGCAUAUUGCAUAUUGUUGUCCAUGAAAUGAUUUAUGAAUGGCAACAAUUCCUUCUCAUCACCCUUUUGAGAUCUAUUGUGAAAAUUCAACCGAAAAAUGUUUGAAUGAAGUUGAUUAUAGUUUAAUCCUAUUUUUCUCAGUUUUAGCUUCUUAGCAAAUGAAAGCUUUGGAUACUAAAAAGAUAAAAUCCCAUCAAUGCAAUUUUGAGACAAAAUUGUAUAUCGUUGUAUGAAACUAUAUACAAAUAAUGUAAUCAAGACAAGUCAUUAGACCUUAUAAAACAUCAAUUGAACGAGUCUAAGUGGUAAAGAAAAAAAGAAGAAGAAUAGAGAAAGAAAACUUCAAAAUUUCAACAAAUGGAGAUCGAGCCAGAAAAAUCUUGAAAUUUCAAUUGAAAUCCGAGAUUUUGAAUGAAGUUUUCCUUUGUGAGUAUGAGAUUGAACAUGUCUUGAGGUUGAUGAUAUGAAUCUAUGUAAGUUGAACUAUGCUUUGUGAAAAUUCAAACAAAUAAAAUAUUUGAAUGGAGAUUGAUACGAUCAAUUAACUAUUUCAUUAAAAAAAAUUGAAUCAAUCUAGUUAGACACCAAAUUUUUUUAAAAAAAUAGAGAAAUUCAAACACAAAUUUUAACAUCUAGAAGUUUUUUUUAAAAAAAAAGAAUUUAAGCCUUAUAAAUAAAUAUAAAAUUCAAAGAAAUAUAUAUAAAAUUAAAUUUUCAUAAAGUAAUUUUAUAAAGCAAUAACUUGGUAGGCUAAAUUCACAUCCUCUUAAAAAAUUUCUCUUUAUUUUAAAAACACAAAAGUUUCUUUUACAUUUUAAACAAAAACAAUACAGGGUGAUUCAAAUUUUCAUUUUUGUCAUCUUGCUAUACCAUUUCAUAUCUCGAACUUCGAUUUAAAUUGUAAAGAAUUUAUCUUCCAAUAAUACUUUUGCAACGUUUACUAAAGUUUCAAGUCACAAACAAAUAGCAAAGCUAUUUUUCUAUAUGAUUUAUUUAACAUAUUUUAAAAGAAUAUUAACAUCACCAAACAUGUAGGGUUAGAUUGGAACAUUACAUUUAUAAUAUGUCAUUAAAAGGAGUUGAUACUUUUCAUUUUAAUUUUGAGGAUGAGGAUGGACAAUAAGGAUCUUUCACUUUCCCCAACAUCAUCACAAGUGGAAAAACCAAAAAACCAAAAAAUAAUAAUAAUAACAUUGUAAAUUGUAAUUUUUUUUAGUCCUUGUAAAGUGUAAACAUUUAUUGAUAUGUGUGUAUAUAAUAAUGUGUUGAUUCAUAUAAUUUAUAACAAAACCACAAAACACUGAGAGAGUCGGAGUAUCACAAGACCAAGCCAAAAUAAACUAAAAAUGAAUAAGAGAAUAAAGAAUACACGACUCUUAGUUCUCUGAAGCUUUGUUUGCAAAAGUGUACAUUUGGAUCAUUUUGGACCCAAUAGGUGUGGGAGAAAGCAAUGACACCGUCUCAUGACCUCUUUUCUUUGGCCUCAUUAAUUUUUAAACAAUCUAUAGAAAGUUUGAUUAUCAAAAUUUUGCUAUAUUCUGGAAACUCUGAGUGUUGGAAUGAAUUAAUUUUGGGUGGUACGUCACGGUGAGAUGGCAGCAUAUGGGUGGACAGGUGAUCCCACGUGGCUUUGAAAAGGUAAGGCCCUACUCAUUACUCAAGCAAUGAAUAAACAAUAUAUUCAUCAAUCUUUUGGUGGCCAUAUUGUAUCCAAAUUCCAACCCCUUUUUACACCACACCACUCAUUAAAAUACUAUCUUUGCUCUUCAACAUUUAUUUUAUUUUAAUUUAGUUAUUGUAUUAUUUAAAAUUAAAGUUAUUGUGUGAUUCUUCAAAUAUUAAUAAUUAGUUUAAUAGAAGAAAAUAUAAUAUGUGAAUGUGUUUAGUAAAGAUGAUGCUAUAGAUGACAAAAACUAAAUAUUCUUUUAAACUAUCAAUACUAAAAUGGCCUUGAGAGAAAAUUACAUAAACUUAACCAAAAAAAAUAGAUUUUAAAUAUUCUAUCAAUGAUGUCUAUUGGUGCCUAUCGAUGUCCAUCUAUCAGUGUGUAUGGAUAGAUAUCAGUGAUAAAUUGAUUGAUUGAGAAAGAGUUUAGUCGAUGGCGAUUUAAGAAAAAUCCAAACGACGGUAUUUUAAAAUUUUUCAAAGGCUUAAAUCGAUCGAUCGACCAAUCAAUGACCAAUUGUACUCCUUCGUGGUUGGGAUUAGCUGAAACAUUUGCUAAUCCAACCAUGGUUGGUUUAGUGGUAGUUUGGUCAAAAAAUCGACUCUAAUCGAUCGAUGCUCAACCCUACCUGAAGUUAAGUAUUUAUAUUGGUAGAUAAACAAAAAUUUUCAAAAUUAUUCUCUAUAUUUUAAUAUGAAUUUUUUAAACGAGUGAAAGAAAGAAGUUCAUAUCUAAAUAAAACCAAGUUAAAAUUAAUGACCAUACUCAAUUAGAAUAUUAAUACCAAUAUUUUUUGAUAUAGAAAAUUUGGAUUUGUAGUGAUUUACCUAAUUUUUAAAACAUCAUUAUGUGUGAGAAAAUAAGCAAAUAGAUUAUUAAAAUAUAAUUCCAAAACUAUACGAUUCAAUUAUUACAAAGUUGAGUUAUACUAAGUGCAUUCAAUGGGCCCAAAUAGAACUAUUUGGGCCUUGGUCCAACCAUAACCCCUUAAACAAUCUAGUUGUACAUUUUUUUUUUCAAGGUACAAAUUAAAUUGUUUUUUACUACUUAACAAAUUAUCCUCAUUUUCCCAAACCUUUUUACGAUUUUCUCAUUCAAUUUAUAAAUCAUAUUUGAAAAUUUAAAAAUAUUCCAAUUCAUUUCCUUACACAAAAUGAACUGAAAAUUGAAUAAUAAUUAUAGUAGAGAGAUGAUCUAAUUAUGAUGUUUAUAUAAUCAUUUUAUAUAGAAACUUGUAACUUUAUAUUCCAACCUACCUUUUUAUAAUUUCAUAUUUCUUAACUAAAUAAAUCCAACUGUCAACAUACAAACAACUAUAGUUCAAUUGACAUACUCUUAACACUAUCAACAUUGAGAUCGAAUCUUCGAGUUUUUCACUUAAUAGUUUAAUACAACACCGGGGUGAAAAAGAAAAAGACCCUCCAAAAAAUGUAUGUAUAUGUAUAAUUUUCUCAAAUAUAUUUAUAUAAAGCCAAAUUUAUUUUGCAUAAAUUGUAAUAUUAAGAUUAGUUGGCUUGGCACCAACAAAGCUACAAACUUCAAAUCAAUUACCAAACUAAUUAGGGUAGAUUGAUGGUGUGUUUUGUCGCUUAUUCUUUUGUUCAUCUCACCUAUCUAUACCUUAUUAACCUUGAGCUAAGUAUUGCGUUAUAAAAUGAAUACCAACAUUAAUUAUUAGAAGCUUUGAUAAUUUUCGACACGUUUGAAUAGUCCACUAUUCAUUCUCAAACACUACGCCAUUUUUUUAAAGAUGUUAUCGAGACUCUAUAACCUAAAGUGAUUUUCAUAAAAUUAAUGUUACGUAGAUAUUUGAAAUUCUUAUCAAUAAUAUUAGCAAUCAUUUUUGCUAGUAUUAGGAUUUGGUAUUAGCUUGAUGUAAGCAUUGACCUUGGCAUUAAUAUUGAAAAUGGUGUGGAUACAUGCUUCUUCUUUUGUUAGGUUAAACAACGACACAUUAUUUGUAAAGUAAUGUUCUUUUGAGAAAAUAAAAACAUAACUCUAGCUAGUUGUUUUAAAUUAUUAUUAAAUUUCAUCUACUCUACUCACAUUAUUUUCUUCGUCCCAUUUUCAUAUUUAAGCGAUGCUUAAAUUCCCCCAAAUUACUUUAUUUUCUUAUAAUUAAAUUUUAGACAAAUCGAUAUGGUACUUAAAACUUGAGAUACAUGUCAUUAAUUAAAGAUUUUAAAAAGGUAAAAUUUCGAGAAGGAAAAAACUCAUGAUUUUUUUUUAAAAAUUUUAAUAUAAGAUUAUAAAAUUGAAAAAAACACAAAUUUAGAAAAAUAUAUAAAAAAAAAAAAAAGAAGAACCUCAACGCUCUAAAAAAUUAAACAUAGUACACUUCACAUUUCCUAUAGAUGUACUUCUCAAUUUCUCUUGGUUGAUUUGGAAGAUUGCUAACUUACAAUCUUCACAUCUUCAACUUGUACUUUAUAAAAUCUUAUAUAUAAUUGUAUUUUGUAAGGUGGGCAUUGGAUCCCCACUUGAGACAUAUUAGAAAGGCAUGUGGUUGGAAAUGUUUUUAUAUUGGCAUCAAUGUGCCCUAACUUCCAAGCACCACACAUGUUUUCUUCUUCAUAAUCUUGCUUUCUAGUUUAUAUUUAAUUAAUUAAACCUAUUUUCUUCUCUUUUUUUCCUAUCUAUUUUUGAGAUAGAAAAUGCAAAGAAAUGUUAGUUUAUCUAUAUUGAUGCGAAAAUCUAGUUGAAGAAAUGUAUCUAUCCUUUAUGUGAUACUAGUGAUAAAUUCUUUUAAAAGGAAAAGAAAAACUUAGUUGUAGUACUUGACACUCAUAUACUUUGAUGUUUAAACAAAAAAAUGAAACAGUGUAGAAACUGAGUUUGUGAGUAAAAUUCAAGUUAUCUUAUGUAGAUAUACAGAGCUAUAAUGAUGUGUAUAAUAUAGUUGUCGUGUUAACCUAGGUAAUUUUUGUUUUCUUCACAAUCUAAUUAUUUGUUAACAUGAUCGAAGUCUUACAUGGUAUGAGGCUUGUGUGAAAGUUUGACUCCUUGGCCAAAAAAAAAGUUAAACUAAGGACACAACUCAAGUUUAGCCUUGUGGUCGAGGUCAACGCGAAGUUAGGCCUAAAGACCUAACUCUCAUCUCUUGGUCCACUACAACCAUGCCUUGAUCCUAACCUUAUUUUCUUUCUACUAGUGAUUAGAUAUUCAUCGGUUUGAUUUGAAAAUAAAUAAUCAAUAUUCCAAUAUAAAAUUUUAGCCUUUGUUCUUCUCCUUUUAUUUUAAGGAUAUAGAAAAUGCUAAUUAUUAUUAUCUUCCAAACCUUUCUAAUUUAUCUUCAAUUCAUUGAACUCCAUUUUCCUUUUCUUUUUUUUUUCUUUUCCCCUUUUGAUUUUCAAUGAAUCAUUCCAAUAUAAAAUCUUAACCUUUUCUAAAAGAAAUUCUCCCUCUCUUUUUAUUUUGUGAUAGAAAAUGACAAGAAAUAUUACCUUUUUUUUUUCUUUCAAUCAACAUUCCACAAAAGUAGUUCUUGCCGACAAUUCCCUAUUCUAAUUUGAUACUUUAAUGAUAAGUUUUGAGAUUAUAGGUGUCCAAAUUUACACCAGAAAUUUCCUGUUUUAAUUUCAGAUUGAGAAUAAGAUUGGAUUCUAUUUUGAACUUUUCUUCCUCAUUUUGAUUACAAUGUACUCAAAUCCAAAAGAAACAAAAAGAAAAAACCCAAUCAAUCAAAUCAAUUGAAUCUAGUAUGUUUGAUCAAUUGAACUACUUUGUUAAAUCAUUGAUUAAGACCUAAUAAAUGAAAAUUAAUAUCAAUUAUUAAAUAUAUCAAAAUAACAUCACAGAAACUAAAUACAAACCAUCGAUUUGAUUAGAAAAAUUUAAACCUAUGAGCUAUGAUAGUUUAAUUAUAUGAGCAUUAGUUUGAGUUCAUUAAUGGCAAGAAAAACAGAAACAAAUUAGAGCUAAAAUCAGCUCUAUAACCUGAAAUCAAGCUUUUAUUAAAAGACAAAAAAAAUUAAUAAAAAGAAAGAAUAUCACUUUAUUUUGUUGAAGAAAUUUACAAACUAAAUCUUUGAUAUUGUUAAUAUGAUCUAAGUUCACUAAUAUUUGCAUGUUGUCGAGCACAAAGUUCUCAAGUUAAAAUUUUCCGUCCCAUGUUAUACUUUAAAAGAAAAAAAAUGCUCUAGUGUUAAUCCUAGUCAAUUUAAGACUACUAUCAAACCUAUCUCGAUGGAUUGUUACGUUUUUUAUGACUUUUAUUUUGUUAGAAAAUAAUAAAUAUUACUCCAAGAAAGUAGUAGAUAAAUUUCAUUAAAUUUUGGGUAUAUAUCUUUGAUAUUAAUAUCCGAAGUCAAAGGGGCAUUGCCAUUCUUUCUGACAAAGGGAAAUGGUGGAAAGUUGCCAAAUCUUUUAAAUGAGGAAAAUGACUUCUACUCUCAUUCAACCCUCCCUUCCUUUCUUCUUUCUUCAUUCAUCAUCCAUUCAUUCAUUCCAUCUUUUUUAUUCUAAAAAACUUUCUUCACAAAAAUUGCAGCUGUCCAUAGUUAUGGAGAUUUAUACCAAAAAUUACUCAUAUACCCUCCCAUUCUCUCUCUCUAUGUAGGGGCAAUCAUGUCAUUUAACCAUACAUCCAUUUGGUUUUAAAACUAUUUAUUGUUUUCCCCCUCCUUCCUCCCUAGAUUUGUAUCAAAUUGUACGGAGAUCUAAGAUCAUUGUUGAAGACAUUAAAUAAAUAGAGACACGUAUACCUUCUUUAAUUAUAAAAUAUAUAUUUUCUAGGUUUUCAUGCAGAUUGUUCCGUAAGAUUGGUUGAAAUGUGCAUAAGUUGGUAAAAACAUCUCUAGAUAUAAAGAAGAUCGACUUUAGAUGUUACUUUCAUAAUCAACUAGUUUUAUAAUUUCUAUAAGUUUGACACCUCAAUUUGGUCCUUUUUUUUUUCUUUUAUAUAAAAUUUGUAAUAAUAAAUAAUUGAUGUUAAUUUAAAAAUGAAAAAGAAAUACUUGUACAUUUGAGGUAAAUUGAAUUUGAGAUUUAUGGUAAUUGAUAGUGUUUCAAAAAGUUCACAAUUACUUUAUUUUAAUUUUUGGAAAAAUUAGUUUCAUAUUUAAGAUAUUGUUUGAUUAUGUCUUUUUUAAUUAUUCAAUUAUUAUAAAUAAAAAGAGGUAAAGAUAAAAGUAAAAGUAAAGAUAAAAAAGAAAAAAGAAAAAAGAAGAUAUUGUUUAAAAGAACUUAAGGAAAAGUAUCUUUUUAAUAAGAAAGUUUUGAUGAUAUGUGUGGUUUUGUUUAAGUCUUAAAAAUUUAGCUUUUUAGUAUAUUUAUAUAAAUAUACUUAUUUGUAAGUAAUUAUAUUAUUUUUUAAAUUAAAAAAAAUUAGUUUCAUAUACUUAUUUAAAAUAAAAAUGUAAAAUUAUUUGAGGACCUUGUACACCAUUUUAAAAAUAUAUAGAAUUAAAAGAUAAAAUACAAUUUAAAAACUCAUAGAGUAAAUGAGUCUAUUUUUAUAAAUCAUAAUUCACACACAUUUAUAGGUAAUGAUUUCAAGAAUUAAUAUUUUUAAACUUUUAAAUACAAUUAACUUGAUAUUAAAUCAAUUUUUUACAAUUUCAUUUUUAGUAAUUUAUUCUUUUUAACUUCUUUGGGAGUUUUUCACAAAUUCUUUUAAGUUUUGGAAUUUUCUCUUUUAUUUUUUAUAUCUCAAGUUUAGUCGUUUUGAGAAUUUUUUAAUCAAUUGAUUUUGAUUCGAGCUAGACAUGAAAAGUCUUACCGAAGUAUUUAAAUGUUUAGAUUUUAUUUUUAAUUUCAUUUAUAGAUAUGGGAUACAACUAAAAACACACAUCAAUUAAACAAUAAAAUAAUAAUAAGUACUGUGUAAAUGAAAAAUAAAUAAGAAAAAUAUAACUCAAAUUUUUCAAAUUUUCAAGAUAGUUUUUAGUCAAAAUGUGAAAAGAAAAAAAAGUUUUUAAAAACCCUUUUAUCAUUUUUUUCCGUCUACGAUAACAUUCAUAGAAAGUAAAUAAUAAAACAAAAAAUUUAGAAGUGAAAACAAGUAUUUGUAAUUAAAAAAAGAAUCAAAUAGUUAUUAAACACAGCUAAACUACAAUCUUCGUCAUUAAAAAUUUAAGAUUUACAUCUAAUCUAUGAUCAUUGAAGGUGUCUAAUAGCCCUCUAAAUUUUUUAUUUUGUAUUUGAUAAACCUCUACUUUUUUAAAAAAAAAAUCCAAUAGGUCCAUUUUAAAUGUGAAUUGAAUCUUAAAUAAAAAUAUUAAAUCCAUGUUUAAUGAAGGUAAAUUUUAAAAAUAGUAGAUUUUAUAAAAUAUUUACAACAUUUUUACUGAUAGUCAUUGAUAUGUUAUAGUGAUAAAAGACUAUCGGUGAUAUAAUCUAAAAUUUUACUAGAGUUUGUAAAUAUUUUAAUUUAUUUUGCUACUUUUGAAAAUAUCAUUUUAAUAAAAAUAUUUUUUAAAUAAUAAUAAAAAAACAAGAUAUUCACAAUUACUACAAAAACUCACUAAAUGACAAAAUUCAUUCCACACAACUUUUGUUAUGAGAAGUGUAAAUAAUUUAUCAACUUUAUAAAUUAUGAAGUAUAUGGUUUUUAAAAAAACCAAAAAAUAAAAUUCAUAUACUAAGAUUUCAUACUAAUUUAAAUAUCGAUAAAAUGUUGAUGUCAAUAGAUAUUUUCAAAACCAUAACUUUUUAUUUAGUUUGUACUUGAAUUUAGUUAUUAAUUUUUUACGGAUAGGACAAAAACAACAACAUAUUUUUUUUAUGUCAAUACCAAAUUAAAUUCUUUUUAUGUCAAUACCAAAUUAAAUUCAUGAAAAUAGGAAGAAAAAGAAUGAAUUAGAAGAUUUAUAAAAGGAAUAAGAUUUGGGGGAGAGGAAUAUUCGAUUAGGUUGUCAAUUUAGAGACAUUGUGUUAAUUGCUUGUACGGCGUUUACGGAAUCAAAGCAAAAGAGUCCAACUUUGAAUUUUUUAAAAUGUUGACCAUUUUACACCAAAAUGUUCAUCAUCAUCUUCAUCAUAAUUAUCUUCUCUUAAUCCCUUUUUAAUCUCACUUUAAAAUAAUUCUUUUCUUGACUUUUGUACAUUUAUAACAAUUGGAAUAUGUUAGAUCUCCAAAUGUGAAAUGGAAUCCUAUCAUUAUUUUUUCUCAUUAAAAAUUUCUGUAAUUAAUUAAGUAAGCAUCACACCAUGAAUCUUUUUAUUUUAUUUUAUUGAUUUGUUUUAGAGGUUUAUUUUGUUAAUUUCACUCUAAGUAAGUCGGUCUCUUAAUUAUGUCACUAUAAUAUAAAUAAUUAAGAUUAGAGUACUUAUUUGUUGGUUCAAAUAUAUUUUUAAGAAAUAUCUAUUAAUAUUGAUAUAACGUUUUAUAGAUAAUUUAAUUGUUGUUUUUGUUUUUUAAUUGAGAUAUCAACCUGUUUUUUUUUUUUUCUAAAAUCAACCAUUUAAAACUUUUCAUAUCUUAUCAUUAAUAUUUCAUUUAGCUAAUUGCAAUUUUAAAUAUCAAAUUAAAUCAAUAUAAAAUAUGAAGUCGAGGGUUAAGAUUGAUGGCUCAAUUACGAGAGACGAGAAAUUAUAAACUUUUUUCUUUAGACAAAUAUCAAUUUAUAUCCUAAAUUUUGAGGGUUAACUUUUGUAAGUGUAUCAUUUCGACCAAUAUUUUGUGAAAUUUAUGAUUUGAGUUAAUUAAUUAAACUUAUAAUUUUUCAUAAUUAACCCAAUCAAUUUUGUUCUUUCAUUCCUAUUACAAAUUUGACGUCAAGAUGUUGAAUUAUCAAAAUAUGCAUAAUCUUCUUCAAAUGUUGGUUUUAUAAAACGGACGAUUAGAGUAGAUGUAUGGACGAUAUCUCUCAUAAGAAAUUAAGACCAAGACUCUUAAAUAAUCUAUCUAUAAACGUUUACUAGUAUAAUUGAUACAAUUAUAAAUUUUCGACGAGGUUUUUUCAAUUUAAAACGUAAUAGAAUUGUGUAAAGUAGGUUUUGAGAUUUGUAAAGGUUAGUAUAUAGCUUGAAAGGUUGGGUAGCUAUUCCCACCCAUGAAAUUAAUUAGCAUAGAAUAAAAAAGAGAGAUGAGCAUAAUGUGUGUAUGUAUAUCAAACUUUUGUUGAAUUGACUGUGAAAACUAAAAGAAUAAGACUAAUACACAUCCAUAUAGUCCUUACCUAAAUUCUACACAAUUUAAUGUGAUAAUUUGGAUUGACUUUCUAAUUAUUUAAAAAAUGCUUAUAAGUAACAAAAAAAAUUAAAUUAAAUCAAUUUAAACGUAAAUAAUAAAACUGUUGGACAUACUUACAAGUUAGUAUAACAAAAUUUUAGAUUCUAUCAUUAAUAGUCAUUAAUAAAUUUCUAAUCUCUACUAAAUGCAUUGACGAAAUUUAAAUUUUAUUUUAAAGAUUUAUAGUAACAAAGAAUGGUUGGAAAUAAUGUUUGUAAUUUUGUCAUAAUUUAUGAGAUUUUUAAGUCUCAAUAGAUUGAAGGUUUACUUUUAUUUUCGGUGGUUUGAUUCUAAGUCAGAGUAGUAAUAUGAUAUUAAAUUUAAUAUUUUCUUUAAUAUUAAAUUUAAUCUAAUUUGAUACGAUAACCUUUCGUGAUUGUUAUUAUUAUUAUUCUUUUAUUUAGAAAGGCUAAAACUAUAGGUAUCAACUUGUCCUUUUUUUUUUCUUUUUCAAAAAUAUCUUUUCAAUGAUUGAAUUGAAGAAUAUACUUCAAUUUAAAACUUAAUAGAGAACAAAUCAAUUUGAUUUUAAAAGACCUUUGAUGAGUCCUUAAUAGAGAAUAAUGGGUUUUAAUUAUUCUAAUACACCUUCUAGAACAAAUCUAUCCACUUAGUUCAUAAUUCCCCAAAACAAAAUUCAUAUGGAAAAAAAAAACCAAUAAAUAUAAUUAUAAAAUUAUUUUAUCUUUGAAUAAUUCACAACAUUUUUUUUUUUAUAUAACUAAGCCAUAUAAAUCGAGUUGGACACGAACAAACGCUUUAAAUUUGAUGGUUUUUAAUUAUUAUGAAAAUUUGAAUACUUGACGUUUAUAAAACGUUAACAUUUACUAUGCUUAACGUUUUUAUCAACCGUUAAGAACUUCAACUUUCUUGAUGCGGGUUUCAAUUACGAUUUUAAAAUCGUAAAAAAUAAUAAUUUUUUAUAGUUUAAAAACGUCGAGAGAGUAAUUUUAUAGUAGUGGAUAUUAGAUUAGUGUUGUGUAAAAGUGUGAUAUAAGAAAAUAGAUAAAAUUUCAUUUCUAAAAUGUAUAAAGAAAAAUGUCUUUUUAAAUUAAAUAAUUUUCUUUUUAGAUUUUUUUUAUUUUGUUUCACAAGUCGUAAAUAAUUUGCUGUUUUAUUAUAUUUAUGAACAAAUUGAUUAAAAAAAAUAUUUAUAAAAUUUUAAUUCAAUCAAUGUUUAUUGUUGAUAAAGUUAAAUAUUUUGCUAUAUUUUAUAAAAGAAAUUGCUACAUAAACAUUAUUGUUUUUGUUAAUUGAUGUUCAAAGCAAAAUUUGGAUGAAGGGCCCAAAUAAUUAAAAGAAAACCCCAAAUGAAAAGGACAAAUAGAGGAAAGGUUUAAUAAGUUUGAUUGAACAAAAAUUGGGUGAGACAAUGGUAUGAGGGAAAAAGUGGGAAUUGUACAAGUAAGGAUUACUUGAGUGUACCCUAACCUCCAAUCCAAACAAAUGCCUCAUUCAUCUUCUUUCCCAUUUUUUGUUGCUUCUUAGGGAACAUUAUAUAAACCCUAUUAAAUUAUUUGUAGGGCCUUUUUUCUUCUUCUUCUUCUUUUAUCUUUACAUCAAUAUUCACUAUUCUAUUGUUGAAAAUUAAUCCAUUUUUUCCGUUCAAAAUCUUUGAAUACUUGCCUUUUCUGUUUUCAUCUUCAUUCUUCGAUUCUUCUAAAUACAUAUUUAAUAGAUAUUUAGGUUACGUUCAAAAUAUUGGUACCAAGGAAAAUGUCGAGAACUCAAUUUUAUAGAAAUCUCGAUAAAGUAUUACGCUAGUAACAUGUAUUUUGUUAAACAAAAUAUUAUACACUCUUGUAAAUGAGAUUAAAUAGUUGUUAUUUGUUUUAGUAUUGUAUUGAUUACGUGGAUGACAAAACUAAGAACGAUGAAAAUAUCAACAAGUGAUAGAAAAUUGUAUUGGUAGUAAUGUAAAAGGAGUAUUGCAAUAAACAUUUUAGGACUUUUAUUGUAUUUAUUAUAUUAAAAUUAGUGAAAUUUUGUUGUUUACAUUUUCUAUUUCCGUAAAAUAUUUAAAUGAUUUACCGAUAAAUUCGAUAGAUUUUGAUAUACAUUUUAUAAAUAGUUUCAAUAUUUUUCUUUUUCUUUUUUUAGAAUUUUCCAAUAAAUAGAUUAAUUAAACUGUCCAAUUAAUUUCACAUUAUUGUUUAUUGAAUUCUUUUACCAAUGUUAGUGCAACUUUAUAUUCAACAAAGUUGAUUAACUAAUAUUCCUCAUGAAUUUAAACCUUUCACAUUUAAUUAUACAAAUACAAUUUCAAAUUAAACAGUUGAAUUCAUUCAUGAACAAAGUUGACCAAAUAAAAUCUUAUCAACCACGAUCAUCACAUUAACUAUUCAUCAGUAUUUUUACGUUUUCAUUGAUUUAAUAAUAAGUGAAUCGAUAUUAUCAAUUAUAUCGUAAAAAAAUUACGAAUUAAAAAUGUAAAUAUAAUAUAAAUAAUAGACAUAUUUCAUUUUUUAUAAUAUUUUUAUCCACGUCAACCUUUUAAACCUAAUUACAAUAUUUUGAAAAAAAAUAAUCCCUAUUUUUCAUCGAUUAAAAAUUUUCAACCCGAGUGGUUAGGAAAUUUUUGGUAAUUGUAUAAUUUAAUGAAGACAUCUAAAAUAAUGAAGGGAAUCACAAUACAAAACAAUUUUUCAAAGAAUAUAAAUAUUAAAAUGAUAACUUCAUGAUUUAUUUCAUCAUUCCCUCGUGAAAAUUUGGGGAAAGUGAAAGGAAAUUUAUUUUUUGUAAUUUGGUGGCCAAUAAUAUAAUAUUUGUAGGCAUGUCUAAAAAGGCUUAAGGAUUAUUGGUUGAAAACUAUACACAUUUUAUGUCCACUAAAAGAGUUUAAAUGAUGGCAAUAAUUAAUUGAGAUUUUCAUCAUCAUUACUACUCCAUAAGUUAUCUAAACUUUCAACCAAUCUAAAAAACACUUCUUACCCAAAGUAAUGAAUUCAAUUAAAUCUGAAGUCAUUAUUCCUUUUUUUCUAACAAAAAAAAAAAAAGUUCAUCUCAUGUACAAUAGGUUUAGAAAAAAUAAUAUUUUUCUAAAAUAAACUAAAAUAAUUUUAAAUACAACCAAAUAUAUGAAAGUGCAAUAAACUAAUGCCUAUGCGAUAUUUUAUCAUAUUUGUAAAUUUUACAAUAAUUUUUUAAUUCAAAACAACCUUCAUCAAUUUUUUUUAUAAAAAGUAAAUAAGUUAACCUAUUUAUUUAGGUUCAUAUUGAUAUUUUUGUUAAGGAGGUAUAUUUUUAAAUAUAACAAAAUGAGCAACAAAAUUAGUAGAAAAGAGGUAUGUAUUAAUUUAGGAGAAGAAAUUGAAAAUAUUUCUACAUAUAAAAUAAAUGAAGAAAAAUUGAUUUUAUAGCCUCAUUUACUCAUGAGUAGAAUUAUUUUAUUUUUUAAUCAGCUUGAAAAUUUUGUUGGUGUAGAAAAAUGUAGUAAUUAUGGAAAUUAAUUAAUUAAUUAAUUAAAAUAGUGUUACUAAUUUUCAAAAUUAUUUUUUCUAAAAGGGGAUUAUAAAUGCAAAUUUUCAAUACAUUUUUUUAUAUAGAAAAUGUCUAUAAUAUUCUUCAUAUUGCAAAAGUAUUGUCAAGAAAAUAGAGACAAUAUGUCAAAGCUCUUUAAAAAAAAAAUUCAAAUUGAUUUGCUCAAAUUUUCUUAGCUAUAUUUCAAGAUGGAUGACUUCCUAAGUCAAUUUUCAUCUAUUUGAAAAUGAGAGUGUUUCGUUUCCAUCCGACGAUAGAAAAUAUAGAAUAUCAAUUUUAAUAAUUAUGUAGAAAAUUAGAUCAUAAAAUCUAUUGAUAUAGAAAGAAACUUACCAAAAUCAAUGUGUUCGUAUUCUAUUCACAUCAAUAUAUAGUUCUUAUUUAAUGAUUCUAUUAGAAAGAAAAAAAAAAACAUUGCUUUUAAUCUUAUAAUUAGUUUAAUGUACUUGUUUUCAAUUUAAAACUUAACUUUUAUUAAACUAAACUUUAAUGUUUAAUAGAUUGUGUAACUGAUCUCUCAAAUUUAUAACGAAAUGCAAUCAAUAAAAAUACUUAAAAUCAAGUAAAGAUAAGAAACAAAACCAACCAUGGAACUUUUUCAAAAACAAAAUUUUAAAAAAUAAUCAUAUAACAAAUUUCCUAAAAAAAAUACUCGAGCCUUAUUUUCAAAAACAAAAUUUAAAAGAAAAAAAAAAAAAAAAAGAAGCCAAAACUCAACGUUUGAUUUUUUUUUAUAACAAAAAUGUGACGAGGAAAAAUUGAAUUUUUGACUUAAAGGUCAGAGCCAAUAGGAGAAGUUCUAUACUGAAAUGGCAUGAACUCAAAUCAUCAAUACUUCAAAAAAUAGUUCGGUUUUGGUCCUCAAAAUUGUAUCCACUUUCUAAUUUAGUGUUUUUAACUAUUAGAGGGAGUUUGUAGCAUCAAAUCAGUUAUUAAUGGUACGUGAUUAUUAUAAUCCACAAAUUAUAAUAGUUUUGUGUUUAAGAUGCAAACUAUUUUAGUCUAGAUUAUAAUAGUUUGUAUUUUAAGUGCAUACUAUAACGUGACAAAAAGAGAAAAAGAAGAGUAUGAAAUAGUAACAUUUGUAAUUCAUAGUAAAAAAAACAUUAAAUAUUAUCGUUUAGGUUACUUAAAUAACUCAUUUUUCUUGUUUAAUCUUUGAAUUAAUGAAUACAUUAAAUCACCUAAGAAAUGAAAAACUUAUUAUCGAUCAAUUUCAAUAUUAACGGACAGUCAUAAAGUACAUAUAUUUAACAUUUGUAUUACUAAUGUCGAGGUUGAAAAUUAAAUCAACCCGUUUUAAUCUAGAGGGGAAAAAAGGUUGGCCAUUUUUUCAAGGGAUCUUUUCACAUUAGGACCCACAAGUGAUUUGUUUCUGCAAAGAGAAGACCAUUGUGACAAAGAAAAUAAGGAUUUGUCUCUCUUUUUUUCUUGUUUAUAUUUCUUGGAAUUCUCAUUGGCAAUCUUUAUUUUACAAUUCUAUGUCUUUGAAAAAGUCAUCACAUUGAAAAAAGAAAAAAAGUAUGAAAAAUGCCAAUAAUAAAAUAAAAUUUUCUUUUAGGGGAUGUUUUGGCAUAAUCUUUAUAAUCUUUCCUUGUUGGAGACUGCUAUCAAAUAAUAUGUAUAAAACAAAAUUGAAACUUUCUUCUUACAAAAAGAUAGUUGGAAUUGAAUGUGGUUAUGGUGGGAAUCUUUUUCUUUUUUUUUUUUUUUAAAAAGGAAAACAAUAAGUGUUUUUAUUUAUCAAACUUAAAUAGAUAAGAAGUUUUAUAAAAAUUGAUAUUAGAGAUUUAAGCCAUGUAUUGGUUAUUAUAUUUAAGAUUGAGAUUAUUUUAGUUUGGGUAACAAUAUGGUGUUUAAGAUACAAACUAGUUAGUUUAUAAUAACUAGCAGGGGACCUAAAACUAAUUAGAUUAUAGUAACUUUCUCUACGUGGGAUAAAUUAGGAAUCCAUGUGCUCGAAACUUUAGUGAUAAUGACAAUUUAUUCGUUAAACUUUAGUUUAUAAUAAUUUAGUUUGUAAAUUUGAAACCAUUUAUUCCAAAUUCUAACCCCUCACUCUCAAUUUUGCCUGCCAUGAAAAAUGCUUUAAAUUGUAGUUUAUUAAUUCAUUUAGUUUAUUUUUUUAUUUUUCUAUAUGUUUUUCUUAAUUUAUUUUCUCUUUCUCUCUCUCUAUAAUUGUCACAUUCUGGGAAGUGGUGGUUGGCUGGCUCUUUCUUCCUACUUUCAAAGGGUACCACUGUUCUUGCCUGUGGAUUAACGUGCUUUCUCUCUCUCUCUCUCUCGAUUGAACAAUUAUUAUAAUAAUUCGUUUUUAUUUCUAUUUCCCCUUUGCUUUCUAUCUUCAUCUUCUUCACUCAGUCACUCUAAAAGGGUUAUGGAAAAAAUAAAUAUAUUGUUUCAUUUUAUAAAAUCACCCUUUUCUCUCCUUCCCUUCCUUGUGUAGUGUGUUUUUUAGGAACUUAACAACAACCCUUUUCAAGUUCAAUCAUAUUAAAGAAGAAUCAAAGGCUUUUGGGGUUGAAAUUUUUGAGAAAAGAAAAUGGAUGGUGUCGUCUCAGAUCUUGAGCUUGAUUGCUCUGAAUUUGUUGAAGUUGAUCCCACUGGCAGAUAUGGCAGAGUAAUUUGCCUUCUCUCUUGUUUUCAUUUUCUGAGCUUGUCUCUUCUUUUGUUUCCCUUUUUCUGAUGUUGGGUUUUGUUGUUUUUUGCAGUACAAUGAAAUUUUGGGAAAAGGGGCUUCAAAAACAGUGUAGGGAUUUGAUUCUUUUUGCAUCUUAUGGACUUCCCAUUUUGCCAUUUUGCUUGAAAUUUGCAUCUCUUUCUGAAGCAUUUUAAUGGGUUUUUUUUUGUUUGUUUGUUUUGGGUUGUUGUAGUUACAGAGCAUUUGAUGAAUAUGAAGGAAUUGAGGUGGCUUGGAAUCAAGUGAAACUUUAUGAUUUCUUGCAAAGUCCUGAAGAUCUGGAAAGACUUUACUGUGAGAUUCAUCUUUUGAAGACAUUGAAGCAUAGAAAUAUUAUGAAAUUCUAUACUUCUUGGGUUGAUAUUGCCAAUAGAAACAUCAAUUUCGUUACUGAAAUGUUCACUUCCGGCACUCUUAGACAGUAAGUGUUCUAUAAAACAUUGAUGGUUUUUUGUAACUUCUUGGCUAUCUUAGUGGUUCUCUGGUCAGGUUGUGUUGGGUUUUUGAUUAAUUUUGGUGGUUUCUUGUUUCAUAGGUAUAGGCUGAAACAUAAGAGAGUUAAUAUUAGAGCAGUGAAGCAUUGGUGCAGGCAGAUUUUGAGAGGGCUUCAUUAUUUGCAUAGCCAUGAGCCUCCUGUAAUCCAUAGAGAUCUCAAGUGUGACAAUAUCUUUGUUAACGGGAAUCAAGGGGAAGUUAAGAUUGGUGAUCUUGGACUUGCAGCAAUCCUCAGGAAAUCUCAUGCUGAUCAUUGUGUGGGUAUGAUUUCUGAUCUUUAGCUCCAUAUUCUUUAGAAAGCUCUAUUUGCUCCGGGGCUUGUUCGGCGUACAAUUUGGAUUUGUGUAACUUAAGAUUGUGAAGCCAAACCAUUUCUUCCAUCCUCUCUUGAAACUCUAUUCAUUUCAGGGGUUGUCUGGCUUACAGGUUGGAUUUGUAUAGCCUGAGUGUGUGAAGCCAAGUUAUGUGGGAUUGCUUAUCUCAAACUACAGGUUUGCGAAUCCCACGAACUACUUAAAUUCGUGCUUCGAAACCACCUCUCGGCCUAUACGGUUGGUUUCUUCUACAUCAGUAAUGGAAAAGAAGAAAUGAAUUCAUGAAAGGGGAUGAAAAGUAAACAUUGGUUGCAUAAACUCAACUUUGUUUCUUUAAUCUAUACCUUAACAUAAUUCAAAGACUUUACAAAUCUAGAUUCUACAAAUUCUAGCUUAUUACAACCGCGAGCCUAAUAUCCCUUGCUCAUGCUAUUGGUGAUUUUAUUAUUGUUUUUUUUUUUGGAUGGCAAUUGAUAUUUCUGAUCUGAGAUGUUUCUUUUGGAAAGAGCGAAAGUUGUAAGAGUUUUUCGUAAUCAGUGUUAUAAAUUCACAGGGACCCCUGAGUUUAUGGCUCCAGAAGUGUAUGCAGAGGCGUACAACGAAUUAGUCGAUAUAUACUCAUUUGGAAUGUGCAUUCUGGAGAUGAUAACUUUCGAAUAUCCAUACAGCGAAUGCACACAUCCCGCUCAAAUCUAUAAGAAAGUCAUAUCUGUAAGAAGAUUUCCCUCACUAUUUGUAUGUUUUGUAUAUGUGUUCGUAUGCUCAAGAUUGAUGUGUUAUAGAUUUCUAGGGGAAAAAACCAGAUGCCUUGUACAAAGUGAAGGAUCCUGAAGUGCGGCAGUUCAUCGAUAAGUGUUUGGCUACAGUUUCAUAUCGGCUCUCGGCAGCAGAGCUUUUGAAUGACCCUUUUCUUCGAACUGACAAUGGCGAAUAUGAUCUAAGACCUGUCGAUUAUGGAAGAGGAUUGGACGAUGUUUGCCCUCUUAUAAGACAGCCUUAUCUAGAACUUCAUAGAAGUGACAGCUCCUUUUGUACUGGAUAUCCAUAUGAUUACAGCUUUGAAGCUUCAAGUGAAUCUGGUUAUCAUCCAAUUGAUAAUGGAAUUGAACUUUUUGAGUAUUGUGAAGGUGAACAUUCUGAGGAUGUUGAUAUUAGCAUUAAAGGGAAGAUGAGUGAAGAUGGUGGCAUCUUCUUAAGACUUAGAAUUGCAGAUAAAGAAGGUUGAAAUGUCUUCACUUUUUUCUUGAUUACAUAUCACACAAUGUAUUAUCAUCUGGCUGCUAUCGAAUAUCAAAUUUAAACCAGUUUGUUUUGCAGGGCGUAUCAGGAACAUUUAUUUUCCAUUUGAUGUCGAGACAGAUACAGCAUUGAGUGUUGCGACAGAAAUGGUUGCGGAGCUAGAUAUGACAGAUCAAGACGUGACAAGAAUUGCUGAUAUGAUCGAUGGAGAAAUUGCUUCCUUGGUGCCUGAAUGGAGGCCAGGUCCGGGAAUUGAGGAAACGCCCCGCUUUGCAAACCAAAGCUAUUGUCAUAAUUGUGCUCCUUCUACUUACAACAGUGCUUCAAAUGGUCUUAUGUUGAGAAAUCAUGAUGGAAAGAACUCAGAGGUAGCUCAAUGUUGUGGACAUCGAUAUGCUUCUAUGCAUGGUCGUUUUGAGGAGAUAAUGUAUCAUGCUGACGAGCCAGAGCAUCAUACAGCAGAGGAUGCACCAAAUGUGUCGAGCCAUCCUGAUGGGCUGAGUUAUCCUGAAAUAUGGGGACAUCAUGAAAGCCGUGAACUUAGUUCAAUGAGCUCACGACAAAGCCAUUCAGAUGAAGAUUACGAGAAAACAGACCGACCAAUUACAGACACAGACACAAAAGAAAUUAUCAUGGAAAGUAAAACUGCUCCUAAUACGAGACGUACGCUUAGGAGCCUGAUGAAUUCUCUUUCUUUCUCAGAAACCCCUUCUCCUCCCGAUAUUAAUGAGAUUGAUGUCCAACAAGAAAUGAGAUGGAUUAAGGCCAAGUACCAAUUAGAAUUAAGCAAGCUCAGAGAUCAACAGUUAAAUCUUUCUUCAAAAUCUUCAAGUUCUGAAGACAGACAACAAAAAAUGGAAAAUGCAACUCCUAGAGGCAACCACAACCAAAUCCUUGACAGUUCUGGUCGAGACAUGAACCGAAGUAGUACUGAUAGCCAUGUUUAUAUCAAUAAUAGCUGUUACAGUACAGACAUGCCCAAGCAAAGGUCUCGAAAUCGCAAGGCUGUGGAGUCCUCUAUUGUGGAUAAAGUUGUCACUGCUAAAAAUGCCUGCAAUGGUUCGUUGCUUCCAAGCUCCCUCCAUAGAACAAUCUCUCUCCCAGUUGAUGCUGUUCAUAUAUAGCAAUGUAAGAUCACUCCUUGUAUUCUUUUAUGUAUUCUAUACACUUGAAUCAAAUCAAAUAAAUAUAUCACAUUUACCAGCUCUUGACUCACCCUUCCCCAAACACACACACAAAAGAAAAGCCUUAGAACACCGAGUAUCGUGCCUAUAAUGCUUGCAUUGGUUAUCUAACAUUCUGAGCGACUAAGCAAGUUAUCUCGUUGACACUUCUAAUAUAAAUUUUUGUAAUAAACUACCAUCUCCCUUCGCUCUGUUUGUAGAUGUAACUAACACAUUGGUAGUGAACCUUGUAUAUCCUCGUGUUGAUUAUCUAAUGGUUAUGUUUUUUAAUUUACAAUGAACCAAUGAGUUUGAUUAGUUUAAAAGUUAUCAAGCUCCACCAUUUUCUUUCAGAUUUUAACCUCAUAGAAAAAGUUUCUAAAAAGCUGGUAAGGAUUGAUUGUUUUGGUCCCACUGAAUCAAAGAUGAAACUGUUGUUUCAUUUUUGGGUUUUUUAGUUGUCUAUCAUUUAAAGAUUAAAAAAAAGUUUAUUUUGCUGAAUAGGCUGUGAAGGGCCAAGUUCUCAAAAAGACCUUUGCUUUUCCUAUUCUUCCUUUUAUGUGGUCAUGCACACACACUUUUCUUCUCACAAUAAUGUUUAUCCACAUCACCUAGAAAGAUCAUUCCACCUUUUCUUAUGGUCCACACAUUAACCUCAUUUACACUGGUGGCAUUGCCUCUGGUCCACAUUGUGAUAUGAAUCAUAAUUCACAUACUUGUAUAUAAUAUAAUAUUUUAUAUCAUAAACCCAUAUUGACAAUCAUAGUCACAUCAUCACCAAUAUAGGAUAUUACCUUAAUGAAUAAACAAGACCUAUUUUACUUACAUCAAAGGUUUAUGAAUCAAACUAUUGUUUUAGGACGUUAGUCGUGUUCAACAUAGGGCUUUCAUGGAUUUUUCAUAUCCUCCCUAUCAGUAAGCAAGAAGAGAAGUGUUCAACAUAGGGUUUUCAUGGAUUUUUCAUAUCCUCCCUAUCAGUAAGCAAGAAGAGAAGAAACGUGACAUAGAUACUGAUUUUGCUUUUAAAUUAGCAAAUACCACCAUUACAAAAUAAUAAUAAUAAUAAUAAUAAUAAUAAUAAUACUAAUACCAUUAGUCCUACCAAGAUUAUUAAUUUGAUACAGAAAUGGUAUCAUUCAAUUUGCUAAAAAGGAAAAGGCACCAUUGAAUUUUCAAAUUAUGAUAAUGGUUUCAAAAAGAAUAUUGUUAAUUAUGAUAACUUCGAUUAUGUCAUUGAUUGUACGGUAUUUCGGUACCCUUGUUUGCACGUAAGGGUUAUGUUAUAUAUAUUAUUGUCACACUAGAAAUAAUAUUAAAACAAAACAAAUAUAAUGAAGUAGAUCAUGGAUGUACUUUAACCUAAUGCAAAUCAAAUAUAUUAUUAAAUACAAUGAUUAUUAUUGUACAAUAAGUACCAUAUGGAAUAACUUUAAAAAGGAAACCAUUGAGAAGGUUCAAUACCUAAAUAAACUAUUGAUCAAAGAUUAAUUAAACAUAAUAAUAAUCAACAACUUUGGACCAAAUCUUAAUAAAAUAACUUCAACUUUUCAAGCAAAUAAUUAAAAUUUAAAAUUUGAAAAAGAAAGCCUUUUAUAAUUAUAAAGUAAUUAAGAAAUUUGACUCGAUAAGUAAUACUAAUAUAUAUAUAAAUAUAUAUGCACGCACGUCUCUAUGUGACAAAGAAAGAUAGGGAAUUUAAUAUUUAAAAUGUAUACAUCUUAGUCUUACCUUUAAUUUAGGUUAUUGACCAUCUUAUGUAGAAAUGGAAAUUAUUUCUUUUUCUUUUCUUUUUAUUACACGUUAAACGAAAAGUAGUCGUGUUUGUAGGAAAGUUUUAUUUUUCUUUAAUUGUUUACGAAAAAAAUUAUUAUUCUAAGUACGUUCUUGUACGUAAGAGUUUAGUUCGUUCAUAUUCGUUUUAGGUUUGGCCUAAAAGUAUAGUUGUGAAAAUAAUCGUUUUAUAAGUGACUAAGUAAUACUUGAAUUUUACUAUCAUUAAAGUGAUGAAAAUUCGAAAGAAAAGUGGAUUAAGUGGUGGAGCUUAACAUUCGAUUUACACGACAUUCAAAUCAUAAAUUAAAUUAGUAAGGGAAUAUUAUAUAAGUUUUUUUUUUUUUUUGAAAGGAAGAUAGUUCAAAUUUUCUAACUUGAAUUUUUCAUUAAAUUGAUUUAAUACGAGAGACAAAACAAUAGUCACUAGAAGUUAAUCUAUAAGUACGUGUUCUUAUAUAUCUCAUUAUGAAGAAUUUUUUAAUUUAGGACAAUAUAAAGAAAAGGUUAUUUAGGGUAAAUUUUGUUGACAAUAUUGUGUCAAAAUAGUAUUUUUCUUCUUUGCUUUUUCUUCUCUUGCUUUUUUUGUUUCAAUUCUUAAGAGAUACAAAUGGAAUUUGUACUUUGAUGGUGAUGUUAGGUAUAUCUUGAUAUUGUGAAAGUUGUAAUUUUGAGAAGUGGGAUUGCCUUUAGGUUUCUUUCUACUUUAUACUUUUCAAAUGAUAAUAAUAUACUCUUUAUAUUCUUUUUCUUUAAAAAAAAAAAUCAUAAUCCUUACACCACUUCGAUCUUCAACCAUCCAGAUAAAACUUUCUAAUUUUUUUAUUAUGAAUCGAUGGAAACAUUAAUUAUAAUCGAAAUAAACAACUUUAAAAUAUAACAACCAAAUGAACCAAAAUUAAAAAGUAUAGAGACUAAAAUGAACAUUUUAAGAGUAUAGAAACCAAUAAGAAUUAAGAUCUAAUGUUUAAGGUACAACCACAAAAAAAAAGUAUUUCGAAUUUGAAGGAAUUACUCAACUUCUUCACUUCACAUGUGUUAAACACAAUGUAAACAAAGUGUAUUGAAUUAAAAAGAAGAAAAAUAUACAUUUCAUUUUAUUUUCUCUUUAUUUUACCAUUUUAAAAUGCAAAUAAUUUGAAUCCGACUAAUAUACCUAUUUUUUUUUUCUUUCAAUUUGUUUGGACUUCUUUAAAUAUAUAUUGUUUUAGUCUUUGAAAUUAUAAUAUUUUAUUUUUAUUUCUAGAGUUCUUAAACAUUUUAAAUCUUUGAAUUAAUUAAAUUAUUCAAUAAGAAUCUAAAUAUACAAAAUUCUCAAGAUGUAGUUAAAUAAUUUAUUUUUAGAAAAAUAAAUAAAUGAUAAAAGUAAAAUCCACUAAUAGUAAUGUAUAAAAGAUGUUAUGUUUUCAAAUCUAUUUUGAUGGAUCUCUUCAACAAUCUUUAUUUUAGGCUCCAAAUCUACAACUAAAGAUGGAAAUUUAAAAAUAUGAACAAAAACAUUUUGACCUAAUUGUGAUGCAUAUAGUCCAACCCCAAAAGAUCACAUAGAUUUGUAAGAAAAUCUUUUUGAGCCUAACUCCACUAUGCACCGAUACUUUUCUUAAUGCAUGUUCUUUUUAAGUGAACUAACUAAUGUUAGUUCGACUUGAUAUUUGGUGAGAUUUACGAUAGAUAAAGAUAAUAUAUGCACGAAUUAAAUUUAUUGUUUCAAUUUUGUAGUCUCAUUCUGAAGAGAUAUAAAAAUGAAUGAUGAUUUAUUUCAAUGGAACUGGUAGAGAUGUUCAACGGGAUGGAGAUUCCUUAAUUAGGUGGAGAAUGAGGAAAAAAAAUUUCCUUGAGCUAAACGGAGACUGGGACAGGAAAUAUAAUCUAUGACCUUGUCCUCGCUCUGAUUAUAGUUUAUUUAUUUAGUAUAGUUAUGUUAAUAUUACUAUAUAAAUAAUAAUUUUCAAUUUCAAGUUUGAUUAUAUGUGUGAAUAAUUUAGUUUAUGUCUAUUUCUUUCUACUAAAAAGUUUGAUUAGUUUUUUAAGUUAAAAUUUGACUAGUUUAUCUUUAAAUUCAAAUUGUCAUAUAAAACUAACGGUAAUAAACAAUUUAGUGAUAGAUUUAAUUGUUUAAUUAUAAUUUUUCUAUGUUAAUGAUUUAGGUCUUUUUUCAAAAAAAAUAACGAAAAAAAUCCUGUGUGGAAUCUUGACUUUGAUCCCCAAGGUAGGAAAAUUUCAUAGAUACGAGAAAUGAAAUGGGGAUCGAAGAUGGAGACAGAGACAAAGACGAAGAAUGGCAUCCCGACCCCACCCCACCCAACUCCGUCCUGUGGACAUCUUUGGUGACAGAAUCAUCCCACCCAAAUCAAUCUAUGGGCAAAUUUCAACCCAAAACAAGAAUUUGAAAGACUUUGUUUUGUAAUGUGUUUCGAGUUCAACUCACAUGGUUGUAUAGUAUACAACAUCACACACUCCAAAGAAGCAAAAGAAUAAAAAAUAAACAUAUUUUAGAACCCCACAACACUUUUUAAUUGGAAACAAACAAAUACCUUCACGUGUUUUUGUUUGAUCUCAGAUUGUACAAAAGAGUGAUUAACAAUAGCAACUUAAUUAACAUAUGUAUAUAUCAAAAUCUAAAAUGUUCGUAGUUGAAAUUACAUACGAUAUAUAUAAUUUUACCUCGCAGUUGUCAAUAAUUAAUUUUUAUGUAAAUUUGUCUUUUAUAUGAUUUUAAAAUUCAAAAGUUGCAUGUAACAUCAACUUAUUCUUCUUCUCUUAUUCUAUUAUUUUGAUGAAACCUCAUUGAACUUAACAAUAUUUAAUGAGCUCAUGGUUAUGUAAUUUUCUUUUCAAGAAAUAAAAAAACUUGUACAAUAUAAAACUAUAUAUUACCAAAUAAAGAUUUAGGAGUGCUUUAACAAUUCAUUUAAUUAUUAAUUUUUACACAAAACACAAUGGACGGACGUUUAUGAAUUCUUAAUUAUGGAUACUUAUAUAAGACUCUUUUUCUACGUCAAUUUGCACACAAUUUGGAUAGGCUUCCAAAUAAGGAAGAAUAUCUCAAUUUCAUUGGAUUUUUCAUUUUCUUUCUGUUCUUUUUUCUUUCUUUGGUUUUUUAUGCUUUUAUGGAUGUGUUUAUUUUAAAAUUAUACUCAACGCUUUUAUGGAUGUGGGAUAUGCUGAUCAAAUUGAGAAGUUGUGGCUUUGAUUCAAGAAAUCCAUAAAGAUCGGUAAAAAUGAAAGCAUAUUCGAAUACCAAUACAAACAACGAUAGAAAAAAAAAUCUAAAUAUGUACGUAUGUAAGAAAAAAAAAACUUUGAUGUCAUCUUCUCUUAAUUUGUACCUUUUUUUCAUUCAUCAACUCCCUUUUCUAAAAAUUUAUGUAAAUUAGUAUGGUUAAUUUAUUUUAACUUAUGCAAUCAAAUAUAAAUAUUGUUAAAAACUAGUUAUUUGUAAAUUUGUCUGAUUAUAAUUACCAUUUUUCUAACGGGUUAGCGAGACCAAAAGAAUUAUUGAAUAAAAGGGUUUCUUUUUGGGCUAUAGUCCAAUUUCUAAAAGAAUUUGAUCAACUGGAGCCCAAAGUAAAAUCCAUUAUGGGCCCAAAUAGAGCAAUGAAAAAAAGCCCAACAGCUGACCUACCGAUUAACCUUAUUAUUAGGGUUUUGUUCUCUCUUUUAACAUCCCAAUAUCAGGACUCUCCUGCCGCUCUUCUCUUCGCCGUCGCCUCCUUCGAGCUUCAAGCCUCCCAUCCUCUUCAGCCAUGGCGGACAAAGCAGUCACCAUUCGGACCAGGAAGUUCAUGACCAACAGGCUUCUCUCCAGGAAGCAAUUCGUGAGUCCUUUGUCUUUGCUUUCCGCAUUACUUUAUGUUUAUUGAUUCUGCGAGGUUUGAUUUUUCUCUUGGCGUCUCUUUUUUUCUUUUUUCCAUGUAAGUUCCUUGUUCGGUUUUGAUUUUGGACUUAGUUUCUGGAUUAGGGUGUAGUGCUAGUUGCAUUUUAUUUGGUGCUGAAAAUGGUUCGGUUUUGUAUUUCAUUUUGAGUUUAGGGUUUUAGUGUUGCUUAUCUAAUUGAAAUGAAAAUCACUUUCGGGUUAGCGGUAUAUGGUCCUUGAUUGGCUAUUUGUUUAUAAUCUUUCUGUUUCGUGAUUUAUGCAGGUCAUUGAUGUUCUUCACCCCGGCAGACCCAACGUCUCAAAGGUAAUCUAUUUUUCGUGUUAUUUUUUUCCCCAUGAAGUUAUCGAGUGUUUAUUGCAUUUACAAAAUCUGUAUGAAUAAUUAACUUUUCAAUCUAUAGUAUUUUUUCUCACUGGAUCCUUAGUGUUUCGUGUUGUAUUUUAAUCCCAUUUUCAUUGAAAUUGGAAAAUCUAUCUUUUCUGGCACUUGUAUGGAAUAAAAGGGCAUUCAUUUGGCACCCAUGUUGCUGAUAUUUUGCUAUGCUUUGGCUUAUGGUGAUCAUUAUGUUGUAUGUUUCUAUUUCUUGGUCUUAAGGCUGAGCUGAAAGAGAAGCUGGGCAGAAUCUAUGAUGUGAAGGAUCCAAAUGCCAUCUUUGUUUUCAAAUUCAGAACUCACUUCGGUGGUGGAAAAUCCACUGGGUUCGGUUUGAUCUAUGAUUCCGUCGAGAAUGCAAAGAAGUACGAGCCAAAAUACAGGCUAAUCAGGGUAAUGUUACAAUGUCCUUUUAAGCAAAACUUCAAUUAUUGUGCUCUUAAGAUUUGUUUCAUAGAAUGACAUUACUCAAGCAUGCUUCUUAUACUUCAUUAUCAUAGAAUGGCCUCGACACCAAGGUAGAAAAAUCAAGAAAGCAAAUGAAGGAAAGGAAGAACAGGGCAAAGAAAAUCCGAGGUGUUAAGAAGGUAAGUGAACAAAUUCUUAUAGCUAAUCGAUGAAUGAUUCUGAAAUGAUAGUUGCCUUUGAUUUACAUUUUUAUAUCUUCCUACAGACCAAGGCUUCAGACGCAGCAAAAGGAGGAAAGAAGAAAUAAAUUUGCUGGAAUUUUGUGCUUAUGGUGGGCAAAGAUAAUCUGCAGAAUUGUGUUUUUUCGUUUAGUAGAGUCCCUUUUAGCUAUCUUCUUACUCUUCAAUUAAAUUAUGUUAAUCAGUGAUUUGGUUGUUGGUGAUUAGUGAUAUGAAAACUUUAGUUCUUUUGCAAGAGGACAGAAUUUUUGACAUUACAUUUCCUUGUUUCUCUUUUUAAUGUUUUGGUUGACACUUUAACCCAUUGAGGCUAUCAUUGGUAGAUUAUGAAAAUUGAUUGAUGGGAUAAUUCCAAAGCUUUAUCAAAUCUUCUACUUUGAGUUGUUUGAAUCAUAGAACUAUAGUGUAUUAACAUUAGACUUCUUUUUUAAUUAUAGAUUGUUCAAAGUAAGAAAUGCAAUAUUAAUGUUUGGGAUAAUAAUAAUAAUGGAAAUAUUUUAGUAUAAUGUUUCGGUUUACUCUCUCUCUUUGGACGGUUCGAUUUCAAUCCUGAAGGAACGAAGUGUUCUGACUUCACAAUUAAAAUUAAAGACUCUAAUUUAGAUGUUUGAGUAUUUGUUAAUUAUCGUUUCGAAGCUUAUUAUGUUUACUUUCUUCUUCCUUUGAUCUCAACUCCUUCAAUGAAAUCUUAAUUUCUUCUUGAACCAAUUCCAAUCGCUUCAAGUAAACCUCCAUUUCUAUAGCUUGUUGCUUCCGCCAUCGCUCCUCAACCCCCUCUCCGCCACUCGAACCUGGAAUCCUUCUUGCGAGACCAACCGGCGGCCAUCCGUUACUUAUCAACUCCUUGAAAAACGGCGUCAAGCAGCCCUUCGCCACUUCCUCAACCAAUCCUGAAAAUUUUCCGAUAUCGUCGAGUACACUACUUGGCCUCAUUGGAAUCUCAUUUGAAUUGCUCGCUUCGCCUGAUAGAAACGCCGUGCGACGCCGUUUUGUUAAUUGAAUGUCGUCUCGCUCUUCGUAUUCGUCUCCGAGGUUCUCUGUUUUCACUUUGGUUUCAGUGAAAUUAGGAUUAAUAUCCGCAAGAACUUCGUCUAGGAUGCUAUCCUUUGCCGAUGUUUGCUUUCUCCCCGAAUUUCUGCCCCAAAUUUUUCGUGAAAUGUCGAAAGUUAAUUGUUCGUGUUGGCUUUUGAAAGCCGGUUUCUUGCCGCAAUUGAUCUUGCGCAGAGUGUUCUGGUACUUCCUUUUCAAUCUCCGAAGCUUAUCGAUUAAUUGAUUUUUGUCGCAACAUAGCUGAAUUUUCGGUUUGAUUUUACGAUAGAACGCAACGGCGUCUUGUUGCUGAAGGCGGUGACUGGAGAUUCGAUUCUUCAAUGCGUAUUCAAGAAAACCGCGCAAGAGCUUGAUUUCAUCUUCAUUCGUCCAGAUUGUGGUUCUCCGUCGUGCCGGAAUGGCAACGGUUACGAUAUUGUUAGUAGUAGCAUUGGCAGGGAUAGCAAUGGCGGUCGGAAUGUGAUCUUCGAUUGGACAGAAACUAUUGGUUUUAGAUUGAUGCAAAUCUGCAGCAUCUGUCUCAUCUGAAACGGCAGCGUUUUGUUCAUUGUUUUGUGCAUCUUCUUGGUAAGAAUCACCCUGGUAUUCAUCGUCGUCAUCAUUAUUAAGAUGUGUUUCAUGUUCAUCAGAAUCAGUGAGUUGAGUAUUUUGAUCUUCAUCUUCUUCUUCCUCUUCCUCCAUGGAGGAAGAGGAAGAAGAAGAAAAAAUCCAACCAGAAAGUGGCCAUGUCAUAAUUAAUUCAAACUUUGUGUUUGAUCUGAUUUCUUUUGAGUAAACUUGUUUUUGUUUGUUUGUUUACAAAUUUGCAGAAGAAGAAGAAUCUUGACCUAGUCUUUCGCUUGGCUUAAGAGGUAAUGAUUUUCUCCCUUCCUCUUUUUGCUUAUAUUGUCAAAUGAGUUCGGAAAUUUUGGGAGAGAAUUUAAGGAUAUGAACAAUCCCUAUAUUUACUCGUUACAAAUGGUUAGGUAUCUUACAAGUGUUUGAUUAUUGUUUUGUGUUUUGUUUGAAAAUGGACCGAUAAAUUUUAUAGAAAAUUUAACUACUAAAAAACUCACUCAUUCAAUAAGUUGGAGAGUUGUUAUUGAUGAAUGUUGGUUGAUGAGGUGGUGAAAUUUUGAGCUUCCGGAGGAUUGCCCUAGAAAAUAUUAUAACUAUAGUAAUAAUUAUUGUUAUAACUAAGCGUCAAACAUAAAUAUAGAAUUUAGACAAAAUAACUCUGCACCUCAAACACAAAUAUUAUUAACUUUAAAUAUCCUAUUUCAACUUUCAAACAUACAUUUUAAUUGAUACUUUGGUACUUUUAAUAUUAUUAAGUAUGUUGUGUUUUUAUUUAGUAGUUAUAGCCUACCAAUAUGUAAUAUAAUAUUUAGUAUAUAUUAUCAAAAAAAUCUAAGUAAGUUUGAUCUAUAUUGAUAUAAAAAAGGUGUUAGUAACUGAUUUGUGAUUCAAAAUUUUCUAUCUGAAUUGUACUAAAAGAAAUUUAUGUUUCUAAUAUACUUUUGUAAUCUUAUAUUCAAUUAGAAAGGAAAACUGAACAAACAAGAUUAGAAUGGCGAUUGGUAUCUUAGACAUUAAACAAUGCUGGAAUUCACAUGAGAUUACAUGGAAUCUUAGACUUCUUUUAUCAACAUUCUUUUGCAACCAUAAAGAAAAAUCUUGACCAACUACCAUUCAUAUUGAUUCAUAAUUUUGGGCUUUUCAAGUAGAUGAGUAAAAGUAAAGCCCAAAAAGAAACCCCAAUUGAACACACUCCAAUCUUCUUCCUUCCCCACCACCACACCUUAUCCUCCACCUCCUCUUUCUCUUACACAGAAGCAAAAACCAGCAUAUACCCUUCCCCCAUUCCAUGGAUCCUUCUGAUUCUUCUUCUUCUACUUCUUCCUUUUGAAUUUCCCUUCUUUUUUAAACACACACAAAAAUCAGAACCUUCAAACACAAAUCCCACCUCCAUCAAUGGCUGUUUAUUCCUCAGCUAGACCCACCACUCUCUCCUUCCAUCUCUCCCAACCUUCCCUUCCAAUUCCCAGAUUCAACUUCAAACCCCCCAUCCCCGCCACCGCCGCCAUUCCGCCGUUGCUGAGAUCAUCUGCGGCGAGACCCAUCUCCAUUUUCACCCUCAACUCCAUCGACGUCUCUAAGGAAGACAAACCCACCUCUGAUGACCCAAAUACGCCGGUGCCACUGCCGGUUGUGGCGGUUGAAGAGGAGGAGGAGAAGUUUGAUAAGCGACGGCUGGAGGAGAAAUUUGCAGUGUUGAAUACAGGAAUAUAUGAGUGCAGGUCAUGUGGACAUAAGUUCGAUGAGGCGGUCGGGGAUCCGACGUAUCCAAUAGCGCCGGGACUGCCGUUCGAGCAGCUGCCGGAGGACUGGCGGUGUCCGACGUGUGGGGCGGCAAAGAGCUUCUUUGAGAGUAAGAGUGUGGAGAUUGCUGGGUUUGCUCAGAAUCAGCAGUAUGGACUUGGAGGGAACACUUUGACUUCUGGGCAGAAGGCUGUGCUUAUAUAUGGAAGCUUGUUCUUCUUCUUUGCUCUUUUCCUCUCCGGCUAUUUCUUACAAUGAUGGAUGAGAUUGGAUUCAUCAAUCAGGUAACAAACUCUGUUUUUUUAAUGAAAGGUGUGUAUAUAUAUUUAAAUUUUCAGUCAAAUUGGAAAAUAAUAAUAAUAACAAUAACAACUAUAUUUAAGCUCUACAGUCGGUGUGUAUAAGUUUAAUAUUCAAAAACCAAACAACUAACCAAAUAGUAUUAGCUUUCUGUCUUUUAAAAAAAAUGGUUAGAGUUGUGAUUCUGACUUAUUUAGUUCUUUUCUUUCAUUUUUUGAAUUAUAACUAGUUGAAUUCACAUCUUUAAUUAUAACUAGUUUAAUUAUGUUUAGAUUUAUACUUAUUAGUUAUGAAUUAUAUUUUUCUUUAAUCUAUCGUCGUUGUAGCUAGAAAAAUCACUUGACGGAAGUUAAAGGUGGAACUAGAAUUCAAGCCAAUAGGUAACAUAAUGAGCACAUUGUCAUUGCUAUGCUAAGUACAUGAAAUUAGACCAAGGAUUAGUACGAUUCAAAGGCUAAUAUUUGUAAUGAAACGUGAAAGUGAAACUGACACAUUCCAUUAUGAAAUUUUUAAAUUUUGUUUUCCUUUUCAUUUUGUUGUAUACUUUACAUACUCUAAUGCAUAAAAUUGUGGAAUUUCAGGUGGAUUGAGUAAAAUUUAUAAGGGAGUUUGUGUAUCAUGUUUGGUGAACUCCAAAUUCUUACUGAAUUCUUUGUGUUGACAAAACAAAAGGCAAAUCAUACUGUUGAAUUAUAUAUAAACUUCACUCUUAAUCUUCUUCAUCUUGGUGAAGUCAAUGGAUUCGACAAUGUAAUAAAGUCAUUUUCCAUAUGGUCAGGUAAAGAGAUAAACACAGCUUUUGGAUUCAUGGCGAACCACCAAAAUUUUGGGGUAAAAACUUACGAUUAUAUUGAGAGUGACACCCACACUUCCAUCUUUUAUUAUACACCAAAUGACAUGUUUGCGAUGUUUAAGAACUUUCCUCCUUAAUAAUGAUAUAUCCACCAUAACAUGAAUAUAGUUUAAAAUGCAUGAUUUGCUACCUUUAGCAAUUUUGCAUUCUUCCCUCAUGCAAUGAAAACGACAGUACCAAUUGAAUCAGCGCUCCACCUAAGUUUGAGCUGAAGAGUGUACAGGAUGAGAAGUGUAUAACAAACUCGAUACAUGGUUCUUUCAAAGGAUUCUAAACGAGUAUCGAACAAUAAGCAUGAAAAUAGAAUAUGAUGAGGGUGUACAUAUGUCUAAUCAUUUGUCUCUUUAGUCAUCUUUUGCCUUUCUUCUAUGUCUCAGGAGUAAAUAAAAAGAAAAAGUACAAAGACGAGAGCUAUUUAACUAACUACACAUAUGUUGUGUGCUGCUAUGAGAUCCACUAUAAUCAACAUGUCUACUCUACAAUUCCUCUUCAAAACCCCCCAAUACUAAGUUGGGGAAUUUCUAGAGGUAAAACUUGUAGAUACACUACAGUUUGUGAUGAAUUCGUUGCUACAAUAUGCACAAAUUACAUUAAAUGAUCUUACCGAUUGUUCUGACUCGAAUCUCUUCACCCAUCCAAAUAGUUUAAUCUUUAAAUGCCGGCCCCGGUUGCCAAAUAAUAACUUCACUUUCACGUCGAGAAUGCAUUCCACCAAAUGACUCGCGCCGAAGCACCUGUGUUAGGAUGUGCCUCACUGAAAUCCAUGUUAAGUACAAAUGCUUUCGCAUUGGGGUAACUUGAAUAACAACCAAACACGAACCAAACAUAUAGUGAUUACUGCCUGCUUCCAGAACCUGACCCGCUCUGGGAUACUGGAGUCUUUGCUAGAUACAUUUGUCUCACUUGCUUCUCGUUGACCCCUCCCGGAAAACUUUCUUGUCUUGCAUGCAUUGUAUUUGCAGAUGGUGAUCUAUUGAUCCAUUUGUGUGGUGGGGAAGGAAGUGUGUCAGUAGCCUGAGUAAAAUUCUGUUGGUUUGUUGAGUUUCCGACGUUCAGCAUCUUUGGCAGCAUCGCAGGAGGAGGACCAGGAGUUAAAACGUCGGGAGAUCGAUUCCUUACGUUCUCUUCAAUUGUCAAAGCAGACAUUCCAGUCCUCAGGUUGUUGUAUUGUUCAUGAAGCUGCACUCUAUCAUUUCCACGGGAACUUUGCCGGUCACCUGGCAUACCAUUUGAAGAGUGGGAAUAUCUUGGCCUACUUGAUGCACCUUGGUAAUUGUUAUAGUGGCCAUAGUUAUAAUUUGGAUCUUCGCCAUACCCCGUCUCAAAACCUGAAGGUCCAACUUGACGUGGUCGAGAGAACAUAGGUGGUCCUGGGAAAUUGCGUGAAUAGGGUUGUUCAAAAAAUCCUGAUGAUGAGCCAUUAGAUUUGAUAUUAAGAGUGUUUUUGACAAGACGAUGAGCUGCUUCUCCCAAUAGAGGGCCAGCAAUAGCUCCAGGUACUCGAGGCCUGAAAAAGAGGUGCACUCGGUUAGAAACAACCUAUCGAAAAGGUUCUAACAUAGCCCAUACAUAAAACUAUGUAUAAUUGUGUCAAAAGGCAUGUAACGAUUCCAUCUAAAUUUUCCAAAAUCUAUUUAAGAACUUUAAAUUUUGUAGUGGUUGACUUGAUGAGGCAAGUUUAGGUACACUGACCGAUCUCUACCAUGAGAGCGCCGGGAACUAUUAUCUUCAUGCCAUAAUGUAGGGAACGGUUUGAUAUCCAAGGAACUUAGAACCUGCAAAUACAACAAAGCAUCAAGCUAUAGGCAAAUUUCAAAUACUUUUAACUAAUCUAGUGGCAAGGAAAGGAAAUGUAAUAAAAAAAAAUGCAUCGUGUGUGAUCAUCCUAAGACCAGAAAUACGCUAAUAAAAAAAGAAAAAACCUUACACAAUGGCAAUGUCUAACUAAAUUACUAAAAACCCGAUUUGGUAACUAUUUUGUCUUUUUUUUAGGUUUUGAAAAUUAAGCUUAUUUUCUCUCAUAUUCUUACAAUGGUAUGUAUCAUUUUUAAGUACAAGAGUUGAAUCUUAGCCAAAUUUCACAAACGAAAACAAGGUUUCAAAAGCUACUUUUUUUAGUUUUCAAAUUUGAGCUUGAUUUUUUAAAUCAUUGGUAAAAAGUGGAUAACAAAGAAAUUUAAAAGUGGAAGUAGUGUCAAAAGGCUUAACUUUCAAAACAAAACAAAAAAAUGGUUACCAAACGAGGUCUAAAUGUUUUUCACAUCUGUUUCGUAGAUAUUAUACUGAAAGGAAAUUUGAUGAGACUUAGUACUCAAAUCUUACGCACCUUUUUGGGAAUGAUUGCUCCCUUUGGAGGUUCAGGGAUAUGUUUGUGCUUCUGAGGAUUAAGAUAUGUAACAUUUCUACAGUUAAAUAAAAUGUGUGAGAGAUAAAUAGAGAGAGAGAGGCCCGUAUGUCUCAGGUUACCAAAUGAAAGACUUACAGGACUUGAUUGCACUGAAUAUCUGGCAAACUGUUGAUCGGUGACUGAACAACAUUACGGAUAACAUUUCUCUCACACAACCAAAGAUAUCCAUUCAUCCCACCGCUGUAAAAUGAACGCAACAAAGGGAUCGAGCAGCAAAGUAAGCACAUACAGGGGUAAGUUAUCAGGAAUUUUAUUGAAUAUGUGAUGAAACCAAACCAACCUUGCAUUCGUGUCAAUCACCCAACAAGUUCUUGCAUGUGGAGGUAGUUGACUAGCAACUUGGUAAUAAGAGAAAAUCUGUGCAGAUAACGGAUGGGUACAAUGUGUAUAAAGCAUAUCAAGCAUCACACUAUUCCGAUUCUUCUCUUCAUCCUGCAUAAUACACCAAAUUUGCAGAUUACUAAUCUCAGCAUUGAAAUUCAAUUGACUAUACAAGAAAGUAAUUUCACCUUCUUCACAAAGUACAAACUAAAUCAAAAUAUCGUUGGAUAAGAGUAAGAGAAUAGAAGCAACUCAAAAGCUAAAAUGCUGAAGCAGUGAUAGCAUUGUAGAAGCCAACAGACCUGAGAAUUGCUAGCUUAUAAACCAGACCAAAAUAUUGAGAUUCCAUAAAAUUCCUAAGCAUAAAACAAACCAGGACAACCUAUAACAUUUUUCUAAUAAGCUAUUCCAUGGUUCACUGACAGGGACAAGAUAUUCCUAGUAGGUCAGCACAAAAACCAGACAGCCUAAAAUGACAAGUACGUAAACAGAAAAAACUGGCCUAUCAGAAAAAUCCCAAUAGUCUACUACCCUCACAAUACAUUUUGGUGAGAAAUGAGUUUGUACUGCUAUAAAGAAAACAGAAGAAUUAAUAUAUUUGAAAUCAAACGGGCAGCUUUCAUGAAAUAAAUAUAUAUGAGGCAUAUUUGACAUGACAAAAAAAGAAAAAGGCACAAUGAUUCAGUUCACCGAGAAAGCACAAUGAGACUUUUGCCACAGCAGAAGAAACCAAAUGUCCAUUACUAAAAGAAACAAUUAUCUGAGCAAAUUAGUUUAAUAAUUGGAAAAUAGAAGUACAUAACUCAUUCUUUCGUACCGUUAAAGACCAUUCAAGUCGCCUAGUUUGAGCAAGCAAUUUUCUCUCGUCAAUGAAAGGCAAUUUGGCAACACCCUAAAUUUCAGCAUGGAAAAGAUUCAGCAACUUCCAUUAGUUUAACCAAUAACAGUUAAGAAUGCUUUUUUAAAAAUAAAUAAAUAAACUUCUUGCUUCAUUGAAAAAACAAAAGGCAUAACUACCUGCCACUGAAAUCGCUUUCCAUUCAUGUCAAUCUCAAAGUCUAUUCACAAAAAAUACACCAUUUGAGGGAAGAGGGAUAAUUACAAGGAAAAGAAAAACAGUGACUAAGUGAAAACAAAUACAAGAUUUCAUUUUCCACUUAUGACUUCAAUUUCAAAGAUCUUUCGGUCUAUUCUUUACACUAUCUUGCACAGUUGGAGCCCUUGUGGACUUAAAUCUUUUGUAUGUUCUUGUAUUCUUUCAUGUUUUUUUUUCAUCUCAAUGAAAGAUAAUUGUUUUGUUAAAGUUGAACUUUUAAAAAAAUAAUGAUAGAAAAAAAGGAAAAGAAAUUACCUGAAGGAUAAAAUUCAAGGAUAGGUGACGAUGGAUCUGUCAUCAAGUUUCUGUAUUUUUCAGGAAGAGCGGUUGAACUGUAUUGAUAUAAGCAAUAAGCAUGAUGCAUAAAAAUUAAUAUGGUCAAUAAGCUAAACAAGACAAUGUAUGAGGAUAUGUUGAAAAGAAAAUAGAGAAUCUCUUGAGACAAAAUCAUAUAAGGAUCAGUCAGGCUUUAGGUUGGUUUUUGGCUUCCCAAAAGUCUACCCAAAUAAAGAAACUAUUCUGCUGUACUUUUUAAUUAGCGCCAACAGGAUAAAAGACCUAAUUUCAUAGUUUUGUUGCCUUAGCCUUUGAACUUUUGUAUGCUUUCAAUGGAAAGUGCUUUUCACUUCUUGUAAACAAAAGUAGAUAUAAUUUCAUCUUCAGUGAGCUGUAAAACUUUAAAUAGACUAGUAGGAUAAAUGGCAGAUAAAUUAAAAGGACGGAACCUUGCAGCUGGUAGAGUUCCCAUCAGUUGAUCAAAAGGCUUAAAUGGCUCUCCGAUGAAAAAAGUUAUCUCCAAAUCAGCCAAGUUUUUAAGGUCAGAGGCAAAAGGCGAAUAAUGAUAAGGAUAGUACCUGAAGCAAAAAAGCAAGUAGAAACAUUGACAACGUGUGUACUGCCCAUUACCAUACCAUAAAACAUGGAUACCAAACAGCUAAUAGGCCAUUGAUUUUAAUUCAACGGUGAUUUUUAAUCAAGACUCAAAAACAAAUCAGUACCCAACACACUGCAUGCAUAUCCUCAGAAAAUUAGUGAACAACUCUAAAACCAAAAGAAGAUAUGGUUCUUUGAAGAAUGCACCCAUUUGUUACAAAAUGCAAAUGAAAGUUACCAUUGCCAAGAGCAAACCCCUGAAUAGUAAUAUCGACAGACCCAACAUAAACCCUCCACAUACUUCAGGACCUGCCACAAAAUAUAAACCCAUCAGCUACUUCUGUUCAUCAAAAUCACUCGAGGGAGAUUUAUUCAAGGUAAUUAUUAACGAUAUUUAUAAAGAAAAUUUCACGGCAUCAGCUUAUAUUUUUUAGUCAGUAAUUGACACUCCCUUAUGUAAUCACCUUUUGAUGUUUGGGAUUUCUCUCCUAAUUUCAUUUAUCAAUUAAAUGUUUCUUUUUACCAAAAUAUGAAUCACCAAAAAGAAAACAGUAAAACAUGAUUUCAGCAAUGCAUAUAUCCAACCAUUCCUAAACUAAAAUUAUUGAAAUUUGAACCCCGUUUUUCAUUUCCAUGCUACACUGCAUUCUGCAACUUCAAAUUUUUUUUUUGGCUUUUUCAAAUUUGACAUUCAGCACAAUUAAUGUGCCACUCUCUUAGGCCUAGAAUUCACAUUAAGUUUCAAAAUUUAAUUUUCAUGAAAUUCAUCACUUAAAAUUAUUAGAUGAUUCUAAAACUAUUCAUAGUUUGAUUAGAAGCUAGCAAAAUUAGAAAUAUCUAGAGUAUUCCAUGUAAGGUAUCAAAAGAGGUUCAAUCAACCCAUCACCUUUUGGACCAUGGUUGAAUCUAAAAAUCUUUCACCACUAAUGUAAAACACCAAGGAUAAACUUAUAAAUUGUACGAUCCUGGCUAACACCAAAUUAAUAUGAUAAAUAUGUAACAUAAAUGAACAACAUAAAACAUUAUUCAGGAGUCUUCAUGUUUAGCUUAGUGGAAAGUGAUCAAUGGUUUAACUUUAAAAGAUCAACCAAUCAGAUUCAUACUCUUUCCCCGCACAAAAUAGGUAGUAGAAUAGCAAGAGUUAAAAGAUGUUCGAGUUCAAAUUUUGGAGAGAGUGAGAACCACUAAGUACAUCCACCAAAAAAUAGACAUAAAUAAUAACAAUUAUUCUUUUUAUAUUGAACUUACCACAUCUUGUUUUAUUUCAGCAAUGUUUGCUGGGUUGGCAUUGAACUUCUCAGCAUAAUACCGCUCCUUGUAUCCAGGCUCCCCUAACUUGAUCUGGGAAAAGGGAAAUGGCAAAGAAUACAAUACCCACAUUUAGAUGUCCUUCAAAAUAUACACAUUUUAAACAUCAAAUCACCAUGCGAUUACAUACAAAGUCUUUCAAUUAAAAAAAUCAAUCAAAAGGGACGAUAAAACUACAGUCUAGAGGGAUAAAAAUAAAAAAUAAAGAAACAAAAGUAAAGAAAAGCUUUUGGUACAAGCAAUAGCAGAUGGUCAAACACAACAAACAUCCACAGCACUCUAAAUGUAAUAGUAAUACUAAUACAGAAUUCCUAUCAAGAUAGGACUACUCUGUAAUAGUUUAUACAUCAAGGCAACUAUUUAUUCUAGGCUUUACUAUUAAUGAUUGUCUUUGUCAAGGUUGCAUCUAGUUUUGCUUGGAAUUUGGUAGGUCUCUAAUUUUGUAACUUAUCAAAAAUCUCAGUGGAAAGUUAAUAUUUCUUGUCAAAACAAGACAAAUAACUUCCACACAAAAAAAAACCCUCCCCCACUUCCCUAUCUGCCACGUCUUACUAGAAACACAUGCACAAAUUACAGUGAAUUUCUUCAAGUGUAGACACGAGGCAAGAAGAAAUGUCCAAAGAGGAAUGAGGACAUAUAUUACCCAGAUAUCUUCCUAAUAAUUGUAAACUCAAGCACUUCAAUCAGGAUUAACAGGCUAUUAAACGUCAUAUAUGCAUUAAACCAUUAAAAAUGAAAAAGUAUAUUAAAUGCAUGCAAAACUAUUGAGAAAUAAAAUUUAUGUUUGAAACCUUGUCAACUGUUGGAGGUGGGGGUGGAGGACCAUUCUCUCUUCUAGCUCUACCUCUCAUUUCUUCAUUAUUCUCCUGUGCCUGCUGACAGCAAGUUGUAUCAGAAUCUUUUCGUCCAUGGAUACCAAUAUAUAGAUUAUUGAAGUAUGAAUAGCUAAAGACUAAAAAUCAGAAAAUGGAAAGGUACAACAUAUGAUGGUAGACAAAGACAUGACAAUAUUACCUUACAGCGGAAAUUUUCAAAAGGAUACAAAAGAUUCAAAUCGGCAAUGUAACCUUUUUUAAAAAAAAAAAAGAAAAAGGAAAAUUGUGUUUAUGUAAUACUAAUGAAAUGCACACCGUAUGUUCUCAUCAGUACUUGCAUUGACAGGCAAGUUAAAUAAAAAUGGGUCAAGGAUGGGUCAGAACGGAGCAAUAAAAAAACAAAGCAUAACAAAAUGUAUAUAAGAUUCAAAAUGCUUUGAAAUGAUAACAGACAACAAGAGAUGCCCCUAGACCUGCUGAAUCCGAGCUCUUUUUUGAAAGAUUUGGUCCUCAUGUACAGCCACAGCUUGAAUAAAAUGCUCCACUUUAUCUAACAAAACCUAGUCCGUUCACAGAAAACAGAAAUGGAAGAUUGUUCAGAAUAGAACUUCAUUACUUUAUACACGGUCAUCCACACAAAAAUAUUUCACAAGAGAAGAAAAGUGAGAAAAUAACAGCAAAUAAUGUCAUGAUGCAUAACCCUUGAAAGAUUUUGUAUUUAUGAAAAAUAGAUAUAUUUUGACCCAAUGCAAUGAUGGGAAUCUAAUCCUGAAGCCACAAGAAGGGGAUUCUAUAAACAAACAAAUACAGGAACAUGACAAAGCACACUCGUUGUUGAUCAUCAUAUAAACAAUAUGAUGAGGAGAUGGUAAAUUAUUUUGACCCAAUGCAAUGGGACUUUACUGAAUUAACUAAACAAGGAAAAAAGAUAGUUGCUCUUCAGUUCCAAUGCGCUGCAGAACAGAUUUAAACUUUGGCUCUCAAAAAUGCACAUGAUUGACACAUUGAAGAAGCAGUAUCAGUAAGAUAUGUUAGAUUGACAUGUUAGGUUUUAAAGAAGCGGAAAAAAGGGUAGAGAUACGUUAGAUGGAGACAGGAGAUGAGUACAGAAUGAAAUCCUACUUCCGGAGGAAAAAUAUGUCAGAAACAAU
rnacentral:lncRNA from 1 species